rnacentral:lncRNA from 1 species
CUCAUUAAAACUCAUUUAAACAGUCUAUGAAAGACAACAUAAUAACCUAAUUAAUAUCAUUAAUUCAAAUUAUACAUUAUAAGAAACCAUUCUCAUAAGACUCAAGGUACGGCAUAACAAUAUUACAUCAAAAGUAUUUUUGCAGCGGAAAGUAGCUAGACAUAUGUAUGAAGAUAUAUUAUAGACAGGUUAUCUUUAUUUAUUAACAACCUUGGAGACUCCGCUCAUCGCAGCACCAUCACCACAUCGGCUCAACCUGCACAUUUAGAAAAUAUAUGCAGGGCUGAGUACAAAAGCACUCAGUGAACACAUGCCAAACAUCUCAUGCUUAUAAAGCUAUAAAUAUUGUUAUUGCCAUUCUCAUGCAAAACAUAAGGGAUUUAUCUAAAAAGCCUUAUGUUCGCUAAACUCAUUUUCAUUUCAUCAAAGUUGUCUGUGCAGACUUUCUCAUCAAAUAAGUAUCAUAUCUGUCAUUACAUCAAGUACUGAGAGGGAGGCCUCUCUCUGCAGCACUGUGAUCGGCCAACCUGAAAGAUGAUUCACGACCACCUCAGUGUACACAAAUCCUUACUAGUAUCUACACUAGCACAGGACCGAAUUCUUCAUCUCAAGCAGAUAGAUAACAUACCAAAACAUCAAAUAUUGGCAAUGCAAUAACUUCAAAUAUAUUUUCAGUUCAAUCUUUGAAAGAAAAAACAUAAAUGCAUAAACAUCUUGAUUUUAGCGUAGAAAAGCUCACCUCGUCUCUUGUAUUAAGGGGAAAUCACUCUCUCCCCCACUCUUUACUUCCCAAAAUGACCUUCAUCGUUAUGAAGAAUCGAUGAGAUGAAUGAUCAUUAUAAAGAAAACUCAUUUAUUAAUCUAAACUCAAAUAAGGAAUUAAACUAAACAAUUUUAACUCUACUGUCUUGCCAGCGCUGACUUGGCCGCUAGAGCUGACAAUCUCUCGCCUGCACUGGCAACACUUUCCAGAGCGGGCAAGGAAGCCAGAGCUGACAAACCUCGACAGAGCUUAAAUUCGCACGCAGAGCUGACAAACUCGACAGAGCUGAAAUUCACACGCCAGAGCUGACAAACUCGACAGAUCUGAAUUUCACUCGCCAGAGCUGAUAAACUCGACAGAGCUGAAUUUCACUCGCCAGAGCUGACAAACUCGACAGAGCUGAAUUCUAACUCUGAACUCAAAAAGCUCAAAACUUACGCAUGCUCAACUCAAAACAUUCGGUCCUCAUUCUUCCUGUUUCUAACAUUUCUCAAAAAUUCUAAAUUAAACUAGCAUGCUCAAGAAACUCAUACAACACAUACAUGCAAUAAAAAUCAUCAUGCAAUGCCCCAAACUUCACGAAUUUAACCAAUCAUGCUCUAAAAACUCAUAAAAUUUUCGUGCUUGAAAAAAUACGAAUUUAAAAUAUAACGAUCCUAGCAUACCCCUAAGCACAAAUAUCAAGUCAAAACGAUCAAACAAAAAUCAAAAGACGAGCUAAAAGGCGAAAAAAUGGGCUGCCCUCAUGGGUUUCAUAGCUACGGUUCGUUCCGUUCUUACUUCCUUCACUAAACAUGCUCAACUAUAUGCUAGGAACAACAUAUUAAAAAUUCACGACGAUCCGACAUCGUUUCAAAAUAAAGUUGAGAAAUCGACGUUUCUCGACGUCCACUAAACUCGAAAAUCUAACCAUCAAAAUGAAGGUAGAGAUGACACAUACCUAGAUACGUAUUCGAAAAGAUGAUCGGGGCUCGUCUUCUCGCUCAAAACAGAGCUCAAAAGCUCCACCGAAGCUUUAAUGGAAAAGGCGUGAGUGUUGCGUGUGUUUGAUUAAAGUGAUUGGAGUGUUUGACUGAAAUCAGCCGAGAUAUUAAGUGAAUGGGGCUUUGGGCGGUUGGGUGUGGUGGUUAAGGGUAGGGUAGGUAGAUAUUUUAGGAUAUUAAUCCAUUAAUCGUUAAAUAUCUCGUUUCGUCUCGAUUUAACAAUUAACUACCCAUACUCUUCGUUACUCGCCCUCUCAACUCCCACUCACUUUCAUUACACUCAUAAUUCUAUAUAAAUAUAGAAAACGCAAGCUCGUUCUUGAAAUUUUAAAUAAACGAGUUUUAUUCGUUUAUCGAUAAAUUCCGAUUUACUAUUCACUCGUCGUUCAAAAAUAAAAACUUUCAUUAUUGGACUCGUAUCGAAAAACUAAGAAUAUUUCUCGACGACGCACACAUAAGAUUUUGAAAGUCAACAAAAAGACGAAAUAGCAAUUAUUACUAUUCAUCGUCAAAAAGUUAAAAUUUCAAAAGCGUCUUAACGGACUCAUAUCUCACUUCCGAGUUCAUCGUUCUUAUUCAAAUAAUUAUCUCAAAUUAUUCAAAUACUCAUACUCAAAUACGGAUAUAAAAUCCCACAUCAUCCGGAUAUAAAAAUACUGAUUUCUCAAAAACUGUAAAUCAAAAUAGUUCUAAAUAAAUUCUCAUGUCUCUAUAAAAUUAAAGGAGGGAGCUAAAACCUUAAUUACUGAAACUUAAGCAAUUAAACAAGUCAUUAAAAACUCGGGUAUUACAUUUCGAUACGAGUUCGUGAGCACAAACAGAUCGCAAAUCGGAGUUUAGACGAGUCAGAAACAAAAAUGUGAUUGAUUUAUUGAUGCCUUUUAGCCUUUCAGUUUAUGGUUCAGAAUUUCUGGUGCUUGAUUUCUUGUGAAUUAUCUGGCAUGUGCAGCUAUUCGCUUUGAGACCUAACGGAGAUAACUGUUUAGUGGAUUCAGGAAUGUAUGAUAUGAUUUUAAGCUUGAAACCUAGCAGAGAUAGAGAAUUUACUAAUCUACUAUCAUAAACUACUCUAGCGAGAGUGUAUGGUUAUUUAUGUGAUCUCUCAUAAGGACUGAAUUAAACUGGUAAUUAGGAUUAAUAGGUUGAUUAUGUGAAUUUGAUUAAUGAAUUUACAUCCCCAGGAUCACUCGUUUAAUUAUUUGAAUUUUCCUUUGAUUUUUAUCUGCUUUGGUUUGAGAUUAGUUUUUAUUCUUUUAUCAUCUUGGUGUUUUGCCUGAAUAUUGUAAGAGUUCUUAUUAGAAUUACUUAGAGUAUUUUCGUUUUUCAGUCUCUGUGGAUACGAUACUCGGUUGCUGUUUGUUUGCUAUAAUUACACUUUGUUAAUUGCAGUUUUUAUCGCUAAGAAAAUAGUGAUCAAUAGUUAGUCGUUAAAACAACUCCCCCCACAUGUUCUGGGGUAACCCUGAACUAAUCAACAAGGCAUUCAUAAUCUCCUUAAGGGUUCAAUUUUUACGUUCAACAAUGUCGUUGGAUUGUGGUGAAUAAGGGGUCAUCGUUUGAUGAAUUAUACGCACGCGAAAAAUGAAAGCACAAGCUUUUUGACCAACUGUGCGUGUGCGGAGCCACGCCGGUGCCAUCUCUCCCUCCCCGGCUUCUCCUUGGCCGUUGCGUCACCGACGACGCCGCCCUCCUCGCAGAAGCAAAGAUAACAAUAGCUCCUGCAGCAGCAACAAACGUAACAAAGCACCGCCCACCACCGCUACAAGGCACAAAUGCUAUAUCACACAAAUGGCGGAACUAAUGCAAGGCGCCUACCGAUCCAGACAACCCACCGAAAGGGAUCUUCUCCGGCAGGCCGCGACUCCGGACUUCCACCGGCGCUCACGGCUCAGCUGCUCAAAGUGGCGAUCUCCUGAUGACGGCGCCGGAGGCUCUCGCAGCCCCGAACUCCUCGGCGGCCUUGCCUUCACGUUUUGAUUUCCCUCCUAUCUCUAACAACUUUUCCCCGAACUCCCAUCUGGUGAGAGAUGCGAACCAUGGAGCCAACUUUUCUGGUUUUCAGGCACAAAGUGCAGCUACCACACCGACGCCAAAGGCUGUUCACACAAGUGUUGCGCCGAUCGCGGAUACUGGAGACAGUGGGUCUGCUAAGGCUACGAAAAGGACCUUUGCAUCUCUGCUUCAUACAUCGUCUCAGCGGAAGCCUGAUUUACUCAUCCACAAAUUCACUUCGCUGAAUUCCGAGAGAACGGGGAGCGGUUUCUCACUCACCAUCCCUAAGGCCCUCAUUGAUAGAACUUGAGGGCUUUAAGCAUGCCGCUAUUGGGCGACUUUUCCUACAAAAGGGUGACAAACCGAGAUCUACACAAGACAUCAAAUCCGACUUGCAACGUUUAUGGAACCUGAAAAAUGGUUGGCAAUUGAUUCCGAUGGGAAAGGAUUUUUCACGCUGAAGUUCAGAACGCAACAAGACAAAGACAUAGCCAAGGCCAAAACGGUUUGGGAUCUUUCUUCUAGCUCACUUCGAUUGCGUGAAUGGACUCGCAACUUUGAUCCUCAUAAGGAGAUAUCUUCCCUCAGUCAAGUUUGGGUUCGCAUAUAUAAUAUGCCCGCUGAAUAUUGGCACCCAGAGGUUUUUGCAGCCAUGGGACGUACGUUAGGAUUUCCUAUCAAAUUGGAUGGCACUUCGGCAAAUCGGGAAGUGGGAAGUUUUGCUCGAUUGCUUGUUGAGAUUGAUUUGUCUCUCCUUUAAUUGACUCUAUGACAAUUGAUUGCGAUAUUACUCCUUUUAUGUGGAAUUUGUCUAUGAACAUUUGCCUCGCUACUGCUCUCUAUGCAAAAUAACAGGCCACGUUCUCGAUGAAUGCAAGCGGCUUAAAAUCAAUGCCGAUGGUAAUGAUCCAAGCAGGCUCCAACUAAGGAAGGCAAUAAUCAGGGGACGAACAAGGAUGCCAAUAUGCCAGCGAAGGAAGUCAGCAACAGGUGUUGAAACUUUCAAGCCUCCUGCUAAAGUUAGUAACUGGAAGCCUAAGAGCAGCAGGAGUCUCUGGCCACGGGAAAAAAUCAAUUUGCUGGUCUCGAUGUUGAGGAGGGGAAUUUCGGUUGAAGAGGAAGCGGAUACUCCAGAGCGACAUGACACGCAGCCUUUGCCUAAGGGGCCGUUUGAGGAUCCUCACCCCUCGGCGUCCCUUUCACCUCGGGAACCAUUUCCGACGGGUUCUGGUGGGCAGCCUGUUCUUGAUGCCCGACCCAGGUCUCCCUCUUCUGCGGUGAUUCUGCAUCAGGUCCUCCCUGAGGCCCAACUUGGGUCGUCUUCCUCUGCGGAGACUAUGCUUCAAGUCCCGCAAUCGGAUCUAGCUUUGGUGGUGAUGCCAGGAAAGGCGAUGAUGGAGGAUUCUCCCAUACCUCGCGGCCGUGGGCGCCCAAAGGGUUCUACCAAGAAGGGGAGGGUUUUCGAUUCCUCUAUAAAGCACCGGCUCCGGCGUAUAAUCAAGAAUGGUAUGGAUAUGAGUAAGAGUCGUGCGGAUGGUGCCGUUUUGCAGGGCGCAGGAGCACAUAUUGUGCCAGUGGAGUCUUGAAUAAAGUCCAACAUGCUCAGGAUGGAGGUGCGAUUCUACAAAAUUUUGUGAUUCAUUCUUCUUCCGACGCUGCUCGAGCUAUGUCGGCGGUGGUUUCUAAAAGAUGGGGAGAUAUGUUGGACGUUCUUCAGACUCUCCUACCUCAUCCAAUCCCUUUGCUGUGUUGGUUUCUCUAGAGUUGCAAGAUGAACAUAGACUUGUUUGUGAUGAUAACAUGGAAAAGCCGCCAUCUGAUGGAGGCCGAGCUUCAGAUGCUUGCAUCUAUCAGGACAAUCAGGAUAGAAAGGAUAUGGAACAGCUUGAGUCAGAUGACGAAAAGAGCCAAAUUGAGGUAGUGGACCAGGAACACGAGAGGACUUCUGCACCUUUGGUUGUUCAGCCGCUUGCUGUGAUGACUGACAACAACGAUUUGCUAACUUUGACUGGGACGACAGGACCCAGUUCUCGUAGACGAGGGCGUCCGAAAGGGGCUAUCAACAAGAAGGGGAGAGUUUCUGAUUCUUCUAUCAAGCACAGGCUCCGUCGUAUCAUAAUGAAUGGCAUGUCCUCGGAUUUCCAAAACUCAGCACGCCAUGAUGAUAUGCAGGGCCCUGGUCUUGACACUUCUUCGCCUGUGGAGUUCCUGAAUAAAGUGAAGUAUGCUCAGUCUAGAGGACAGAUUCUGCAAAACUUUGUGAUCAACUCCGCUAACUCUACCGAUGCAGCCCAUGCUAUGUCGGUUGUGGCCUCUAAAAAAUGGGGCGAUAUGUUGGACGAUGAAGAUGACGAUGUUUUAGACGAGGACGACCCUCUUAAAAUGUUCUCUUAGUCUUGGUUUCUUUUUUUGGUUACCCGGGGUUUCUUGCGGGUGCUUUUGCUUGUUUCCUUUGUCUCUGGUCUCUCUUUUUUCUUUUCUUUUUAAUAAAAUUUCUAUUUCAGCAGUUUGAUGAAUUAUACCACUUUCAUUGCAUAAUUCAGCAAACAGAACUACAUAUUCUCUACCUCUAUCACUUCGAACCAUCUUAAUUUGACAUCCAAGUUGAUUCUUGGCUUCAUUUUUGAAGUUUCUAAAAGCUUCAAUAGCCUCAUCUUUACUUUUCAAUAAGUAAAGGUAACAAUAUUUUGUGCAAUCGUCAAUAAAGGUAAUAAAGUACUUCUUACCACCUCUAGUUUGCACAAAUUUUAUAUCACAUACAUCGGUGUGAAUUAAUUCUAGGGGUUUAGUGCUCCUUUCAACCGAUUUAAAUGGUAACUUGGCUAGUUUGGCUUCAACACAAACUUCACAUUUUUCUCGUGGGUUAAAUUCAUCAACUUUUAGUAAAUUUAUUUUCACUAAUCGUUUUAUAGCAUUUAGAUUAACAUGACCAAGUCCACAAUUCCAUAAAUCAGAACACUUAAGCAAGUAAGCAGAAGAUGUAAUACCCCGCUCAUUUCUAUUAAGUUUAGAAUUUAUUUCGAGUUUAGAUUAAGAUCAUUUACGCCGGAGAAAUGAAAAUGAAUUUAUUUUAAAUUCCAACAAAAUUAUUUUCAAAAGCUUUUAUAAAUUUAGUCUUUUGACUUUUUGUGCAUUUCAUAAAUCAAAUUAUAUGAAUAUGUGAUUAUUGUAUAUGAUUAGUAUUUAUUUGUACUACAUGAUUUAAAUUAAAGUUUAUAUUGGAUUUUAAUUAUUUAAUUGUGUUGGGCUUUAAUAAAUAUUUAUUUGGGCCUUUUAGUAAAGAUUUAUUUGUUUAGCAUUCAUCUUUAGCCCAAGAGUCUUUUUUUUAAAGCCCAACCCAACUCAACAUAGCCCAAUCCCACUCACUUUCCUUGCUGCUGUCAAGUACAACAGCAUAGCUCUUCCUGCAAGCCAUGUCCUCACCCACUCUUUCACCCAUGCCUUCAACUAUUUACCUAUCUACUCAACUAUUCGUUUCAGCCAUCUUUAAAUGACUUGUUCUCAUUCAUAAUAAUCUUUACCCAGCUGCAAAAAUUCAAGAGGUAAAGCUUAUCCCUCAAUCCAUUUUUCCCUUCUUCACAUCAAAUGUGUAAAUAACCAUUUUACUCUGCAUGCCAUCUCUGAACAGAACCAGCAACAUCAACAUAGCUGACAAAUCACUAAAGGUUCUACCUUUAAACCUCUCAAAUUCAAUUCCAUUUCGAUACACAUGUAUGAAGCACCCAACCAGAUUUUACACAAGGACAAAGCAUGAGUAUCAACUGCAUAAACUUGUGUACUACAUAAUUAUGCUUUUACAAUGUUUAUACAUAAACAUAGACUUAAACAGAAAUAAAGCAGAUGAAUCAUUAUACAUGUUUUAUUUUGAGCUGUGAUGGGAGUCGAGAGUAGAGGGGAAGGCAGCGGCGGCUUCUCACUGUCGUUCGCUGAUAAGAGGUCAUUCAAAGGUUCGAGCCGGGCCUGUAUGAGGCAGCGCUGCCACUACUGAUGCCCAGGCUACUGUACGAGAGGAAGGCCCGUGCUCGAAGUCGAGGCCAUGGUUGCGUCAUUUACUCUUGGAGAGCCCUGAGCUCAUUUCAUUUGUAAGAUUUCCUGAGUUAAAGGGGGGCACGGAACAGUCCUGUGCGGUGACAUGGGAUUCCAGCCCUGCUCGGAUUAAUUUUGCUUUGACUUUGAGACUACUUCUGUUGAUUUUGAGAUUAACCAUGGUCAAUUUUGGACUAAUUUUGUUCUACUUCUCUUUGCGAAUUAAUCCAGGGCUACAAAGACGGGUAUUUCGACACCUUGCUCACUAUUGAGAAUUCUAAGACGAGUAUGGGGGUAUAUAUGUGGCCUUGAUUGAUGGCCCUGCUACUUCUCAAGGCAUAACACGACAACUCUAUUACCCAUGGGUUUCUUAAGAGAGGGGGAUGCCACAGGCUUGCGCUAAUUAUGGGAAUUGUUGACCUAUGGGAGUCAUACAAUAGCCUUGCUCAAGUCUUCUCAGCACACUGGAGAUACAGCCUUGCUCGGGUCUUCUCUCGCAAUGGAGUUUUCAGCCCUGAACAGGGAUUUCUCAGCUCUACAGGAAGCACUUAUUAUCCAGGAUAGAAAUCACAACGAAGAUCCUUCACAAAUCCAGACGUAGAUCAAUCUAAAUGAUUAACAUCAAAAUAUUGAACAAGGCCGGGGCAGCACAGUAAAUUAUCAAGGAAAUGAUUAUCUUAUCUGAUUUGGUGCAAAAAGAUGAUUUUAUCUUAAGGGAAUUGCCAGGGCAGCACAGUUAAAUACCGUCAAAGUUGGGUGUUGGACAAAUAUCGAACUUUCAGCUAUGUACUGGAUUCUGGCGUGCACCAGAAUUUCCAGCCAUGACCGAGGCCUUGCUCGAAUGCAAUAUUCCCAGCCCCGUUCGUACUGCUCGGGUGCAUCAUCUCUUCACGCAGCAGGUUUCUAGCUUUGCCGGGUCUCUUCAUGCAGCGGAUCAUUUUCAGCUCUGCCGGGUUAUCUCUCGGCACCAGUUUUUCAGCCUUGAUCGAGACUUCUCGGCUGAAUAUUUUCAGCUCUGCCGGGCCACCUCUCGACACCAGUUUUUCAGCCUUGAUCGAAACUUCUUGGCUGAAUAAUUUCAGCUCUGCCGGGUCACCUCUCGGCACCAGUUUUCCAGCCCUGAUCGGGACCGCUCGGGUGCAAUAUUUUCCAACCUUGCUUAUUACAACUAAGCACACAGCUUUGCAUUUACCCAAAUGAAUCUGGAGCUAGAGAAGUGGAGUGUUACGGGGACUUUGCAUCUCCCACUUGCAUGAAUAAUGCAGGGCUGGGAGUACAAGUCCCGGACUUGUACUCCCAGCCUUGCAUUAUUCAUGCAAGUGGGAGAUGCGAAAUUAAAAAUCUAUUGAUAUUGUAUGACAGAGCCACAUUCUUGUUAUGAACUUAACAACUCCUUGAUCAUAAAUUAUCGGGUGUUUUAUGAUACAUUCAUGGGGUCUUCUUUGAUUUACUUAUCAGGUUUUCUAUGAUUCGUGUAUCGGGUUUUCCAUCAUAUAUAAACAGGGCCUUAUACAAUCAUGCUUCACUUCUAAAGUACGCGCACGACACUGGGGGGAGUAGGGGGUGUAUACCCCCGCCACCACUUAUCAUAUCCUAUUUUUUAGCUAUAAAAAAUUCAAAACCUACGGGAAUGAAAGGGAUAGCGCUGCCUAAGCCGCGAGCUCCCAGAGCUGCCUUAGUCGCGAGCAUUAAAUUUUGGAAGCUGCCUCAGCCGCGAGCUAUUAGAGGGAAAACUCAAAAAUAAAGGGAGUCGUUGGCCGUAGGCAUGACGGUAACAAUCAAGGAGCAACUCAAUAAGGGCGUUCGAAAGGGAGUUUCUUUACUCUUAUUAUUUUUGUUGUUAAGUAUUUUGGCAGGGAUGAAAUUUUUUGUCUUUAAUUAUUUGGCAAACUUGUAAAACUUAAUCUUGGAUAAGUUACAGGGUUGCAGGGCCGUAAUAUUUCAACUCUACUUGAGAGAGCAGCACAGCGCUGACUCUAGACAACACUUUACCAGUUAAACUCGAAGAAGACCCAGUUCAAUCGGACUGGGGGAGAGGUAGCUGAUGAGGAGUAAAAUAUGCAUCAGCGCUGUACAUAGUGGAAAUCCCAUCUUUGGCUGGAUCACCCGUGAAAACGCCAGCUUUGGGGUUUGUAUCCAGCUUUAUCGGAUUCCAGCGCUUCCAGAGCCAGCCUUGCCAAAUUCCAACGCUUCCAGAGCCAGCUUUGCCACCGACUUGGGCUUCAUUUCUCUAUUUUGUGGGCUUUAGGGUUAGGCCCAAUUAGUCAUCUAUAAAUAGGGCUCUUGUGCAUGGAAAAUAGGAUCCAUUCAUUCUUACUACUCAGCUUGUACUUGUAACUCAUAGUGGAAAUACUCGUAAAUCUCCCAUGGAUGUAGGUCUUAAUGACCUAACCACGUAAAUCCGUGUCUCGUUUAUUGUUUUAUUUUUGGGAAUUAUUUUAGAACUCAUCAGUUUAUUUACCGGGUCUUCAACAAUCGUGCUUGACUUCUAUAGUACGCGCACGACAUUGGGGAGGAGUAGGGGGUGUAUACCCCCGUCACCUCUCAUAUCCUAUUUUUUAGGGAUAAAAAAUUCAAAAUCUAAGGAAAUGGGGGUUAAAUUUUUAGAUGUCACCUAACUUCGAGCUCCCAGAGCUGGCUUAGCGCGGGCAGCUGCCUGUACCAUAUCCCAAUGUUGGUAGUAGUGUGAGCACUUAAGACCUAGAAGUCACGUAAGCGCGAGUUCCCAGAGCUGCCUUAGUGCGGGNNNNNNNNNNNNNNNNNNNNNNNNNNNNNNNNNNNNNNNNNNNNNNNNNNNNNNNNNNNNNNNNNNNNNNNNNNNNNNNNNNNNNNNNNNNNNNNNNNNNNNNNNNAGUGAACAGCUCGUAUGUUAUACCGAUGGGAGAUGUGGACAUAAUCCUAGGAAUGGACAUAAUCCUAGGAAUGGACAUAAGUUCGAGCUCCCAGAGCUGGCUUAGCGCGGGCAACUGCCUACACCGGAUUCCAAUGCUGGUAGUAGCGCGAGCACUUAGGACCUAGAAGUCGCCUAAGCCCGAGCUCCCAGAGCUACCUUAGCGCGGGCAUCAGGAGGGUUAAAUUUUUUAGAUGUCGCCUAAGUUCAAGCUCCCAGAGCUGGCUUAGCGCGGGCAGCUGCCUACACCAGAUCCCAAUGCUGGUAGUAGAGCGAGCACUUUAGAAGUCUCCUAAGCACAAGAUCCCAGAGCUGCCUUAGCGCGGGCAUUAAGAGCAUUAAGUUUGAGAAGCUGCCUAAAUCCGGAUCCCAAUGCUGGCUUAGCGCGGGCAUUAAAUUUUAAAAGCUGCCUCAGCCGCGAGCUAUUAGAGGGAAAACUCAAAAACAAAUGGAGUCGUUGGCCGUAGGCACGACGAUAACAAUCAAAUGGAAACUCAAUAAGGGCGUUCGAAAGGGAGUUUAUUUCUUCUUAUUAUUAUUAUUGUUGUUAUUCUAACUAUAUUGGUGGGGAUGGAAUAUUUUUGUGCUGACGAUUGGUCGACUGACAAUUUAUCUUUAAUUGUUUUGCAAACUCAUAAUACUUAUUCUGGGAUAAGUUUCAGGGCUAAGACACUUGGACUUUAUUUGGGAGAGCAGCACAUCGCUGACGUUAGCAAUAAAUUUCAACGAUUGAACAUGUAGAAGGCCUGGUUCAACCUGACUGGGGGGAGUAGCUGAUGCGGAGUAAAAUAUACAUCAGCGCUGUACACAGUGGAUUUGGCCGGAUCACCCGUGGAAAUGCCAGUUUUGGCCUCCAGCUAUGACCGGUUCCUGCUUUGCCAGAUUCUAGCGCUUCUAGAUCCAGCUUUGCCAGAUUCUAGCGCUUCCAGAUCCUGCUUUGUCAGCUCUAGCUUUGACUUCCAGCUCCAGCCUUGUCGGACUUCGGCCUUGCCGAGUUUUGUGUUGUCGGUUGAAUCUUGCCAGCUUAGCUUUGCUGGACUCCAGCCUUGCCUAUUUCAUCGAUAUCAGCGACUUGGGCUUAUUCUCUAUUCAUGGGCUUUAGGUUAGGCCCAAUUAGUCACCUUAAGUAAGACUGGAGAUGAAGAUCAAGAAGUUCAAGGCGCAGCCAUGUAGACUGCUGGAGUCCAUGGGUUUCUCAUGUGUUUUGUUUUGUUUUUACUCUCUUGUAAGUCUUGCUCUGUACCUUGACUGAUGUCUUAUCAGUUUUUUUUUUUAAUGAAAUGAACUCUUUUGAUCUCAACCUGAAGACAAUGACUCUUUGUCCAGGCUCUGAUUAUGUUUUUCUGUUUUCUUUUCGUUCUGUUUUUGAACUGUUUUGUUCUUUCUCUUAGUACAAGUUUUUAGGUUCUUUUGUUAAGGGGGAAUUGUUUUCACCCUGUUUAGAACUUGUGCUGUGAGUUCAGUCUUUUUUUUGUCUAGAACUGUUGUGUGGUUUUGGUAUCAUCAAAGAUGGGAUAUGUUGGGAACUUGUUGAAUAUCCUAAUCCUUGUUUUGAUGAUACCAAAAUUCAUAGGCCUUAAUGUAAUAGACUAGAACUUUUUGAACUCAAGUGUUAGAGUUCUUUUCUAGUUUAGUUGCUGUUCGAAGACUGAAGACUGAAGACUGAAGGAUGAAGACUGAAGACUGAAGACUGCAGUUACCAACUGAAGUAUCAGUUGAAGAAUCAGUUGAAGACUGAUUAUUUAAUGCGCGCAAUGGACUGAUACUAAAGUCAAGUAUCAGUUGAACAUUCCUCCUAGGACUGAUCUUCCAACGUUCAGAGGAAGCCACGUACGCCAAAGUACAGCCGCAUUAAAUGCAGAGAUCUCAGAAUAUCUUAUCUCUGCAGAGGUCAUUCCUAUCUGGUGGUUACUUUUCAGAGAUGUCACAUCUCCUGUCCAUCAAAGAGAGCCGUUUCCACACAGACAAGGAACCUCGAAGAUUGAAGUCUCAGCCCAAAUUCGAAUUGCUCUCCAACGGAAGAAAUCUUGAGGACGAUUUACGCCAACGGAUCUAUUCAAGAGUUCUCCUAUAAAUAGCGCUCGAGGAUCACUUCAAUCUUCACCGAUUCAACGACAUAAGCUGAAGCUCUGCCGAAAUUGCUACUCAGCCUAAAGCUUAACCGCCCAAAGCUUGAAUCGAAGAAGAGAAUUCCAAAGCCAAAAUCAGUCACUGCUGAUUACAUACAUUCUCUUAGACCCUAGGCAUAUAUCUGUUUACCCAGAAGCCAAAGGUCAAACUUGCUUCAAAGAACUUGUUCUUUGUAAGUAUAGUUGGCACUCGGUUAAACCUCUCCCCCAUAAGAGUGUUUGAGUGAUUCGGAGUUCAGGAAGGUACUCUGAACUCUGAGUGAAAAGUCUGAGCACGAGGUGUGCUUAGCAUGGAAAUCCUACGCGAGGUGUGUGGGUGCUGAAGAGGGGUUAUCUUCAGUUUACGGUUGUGUGCACCAGGCAAGCACACGGGUACGGUUUGCAGUGCACCAGUGAAGCACUUGCGGAGUGGAUUGUUGGUCUGAUCAACCAGCCGUGGAUGUAGGAAAGGGUUUUUCCGAACCACGUAAAAGUCUCUGUGUUAUUUACAGCUUUCAGUUUUAUAUUCUUACUUGUGCUAUUUCAAUUGAUAAAACUGAACACUGACUAACAGCAAAGAGAAACCUUAAUUAUUCUUACUUGUGCUAUUUCAAAUAAUACAACACCGCACACAGGCGGGAAUACAACACCACUCUCGCUGCAUGUGGGACCUUAAUUAUAACUCACGUCGUUGCAUGUGGGACAAUUAUGCAACCCUCACGCGUGCAGUGACGUGCGUGUGGGACCUCAACACCAAAUAAUACAACACCGCACACCACUCUCGCUGUGUGUGGGACCUUAUAACUCGUGUCGCUGCCUGUGGGACAAUUAUGCAACCCUCACGCGUGCGGUGACGCCCUGCGUGGGGGACCUCAACACCAAAUAUUACAACAUCGCACGCAGGUGGGAAUACAACACCACUCUCGCUGCGUGUUGGACUUCAUAACUAAAUAAUACAACACCACGCAUGUAGACGGGAUUGAACCCAAGACCUCUCACAAAGGAGAGUCUUUGGGUGCCUCAGUUUUGCCUCUAGAGCAAGACCUUAUUGACGAAAAGAGAUUAAUAUUAAAUUAACUAGUUUGCUUAAAGAAAAGUUAAUUCUCACCAUAAAAAUAAAAAUAUAAUAUGAUCGUAGCCACCCCAAUCCAAAAUGCCCUUUCAUAUUUUUAUUUUAAUAAUUUCUAAAGGAAAAAGUUUGAAAAUUUAAAAUCAUUAAAAUUACAAAAUUCUGAAUUUUUUAUACAAAAGUAAAAUUGCAAAACCUAACGAAAGUGGGAACUCUCCGUUCUUAGUUUGAUUAUAAGACUAGUGCGUAACCCGUCGAAAUACGACGGAAAAUUAUUUUAAAUUAUUAUUUAAAUUAUAUGAUAUUUCAUUCAUUUUACAAAAUUAUGCAUACCCUAAUUUUAGACAUUAUCCCACAAAUAAUUCUUACAAUUUUACCCUUUUAACUUACACUAUUUACUUAUAAUCUAUUUAACAAUACAUUCACUGUGGGACUCUUUUUUCACUAUCAUUACUAUAAACUUCCAUGCAUAAUUUUGGUGGACGGGGGAGUAUUAUUUUUGUAUAAAUAAUUAUUUAUAUAUAAAUUAUUUUUAAAUUUAUUUAAUUUAAGGUAAUAUAGUUGAAAUUAUAUUAAUCUGAAUCAUAUUCCUUAAUUAAAUAUUGACACUCCCUUAAAUAACAAAAAUUAUGCAUAACAAAUUUUUAGACAUACCCCCUACCUCUACAAUUUAAAGCCCAACUUUGGUAUGGGUACGGAGACUAAGAAAACUGAAAAAGGUGAUGUGGAUGGAAUAUAAGGGUAGUUGACUAAAGUGAUAAAGAUAGUUGACUAAAGUGAUAAAAGGUGUUGUGAGUGGGUCCACUAGUGAUAAAGUAUAAGUAAAUAUAGAAUAUAAAAAUGAUAAAGGGGUUUUAAGGUGGGUUCUUUAGUGGCAAAGUGUAGUAAAUGUUGGAUAAGGAAUUAGUACAACUUUACCCAAAAGAUAAUUGGGCUUAUUUUGUGGACAACUUAAGAGGAAUAGUGCUUUUAUUUGUGGACGGAGUGAUUAAUAUUUUGGAAAAAUGUCAAUAUUGAAGAUUUAUUUCAUGUGAGCAUCAUCUCGUCUGAACACUCUGUAGGAUCAUAUAAUCAUCUAAAGCUCGGAAGACGACAUCUAAUGUUUGAACACCAGACUUUUGAGCACCAUCUCAUCUAAACCUUAAAAUACAAAAAAUGAACUUUUAUGCGUCAAUUUUUUUAACAUCACUAUCUGGAGGUUUAAAAAUCAAAUUUGACUUGUGAGAUUGUGUGAUUUGUAGCUUCUAAUAUCAUAACUAACUUGUAAACAUCAUUUUGUAUGGAACUUGAAAAAAUCUUGACAAACUUUUAUGCAUUAUUAGCUUCAAAUAUUAUAAUUGGGUUCCAAGAAUCAUCUCGUUUGGAGUUUGAAAGAAUAAAUUUAACUUGUGAGUAUCAUCAUUUAAUUGGAUUCCGAAAAUCAUCUCGCUUGAAGCAAUUCAAAUUGUAUUAGUCUCAAUCAUUCCGCCAAUUAAAUAUAGAUUUUAAUUUGGAGAGCAAGAGCUUCUUCUUGUAUAAGUUUAUUUUAGUGGAACCUUAUAAAAAAUAUAAAUGUGAAUUAAGUGAUUAAUAUGAAUUCUUCACUCGAUUGAGAUUAUUAUAAAUUUAAUACAUAAUUAAAGAUUUCUAUUGUAUUUUAACAUCAUAUCCUCUAUUGUUCUUUAUCUAAAUUCUUCAUUUAUGCAUUACUAAUUUCAUAAUUUAUUAUUAUUAUUAUUAUUAUUAUUAUUAUUAUUAUUAUUAUUAUUAUUAUUAUUAUUAUUAUUAUUAUUAUUAUUAUUAUUUAUUAUUGACGAACUGAAACAAAUAAAGUUUUUAGAUAUGAAAAAUAUAUUUUUCUCCCUAUAUAAAUAAAAUGUAUGGAUUUAUUUUAUAAAAAAUAAAAAUAAAAUUUUAAUUAUUUUGAUAUACAUAAAAUAAGAUUUUGUUUUAAAGUAAUCAGUUUAUAGAAUUUUUGCCUUAUUAUUCAAACAUGUAAAUCAAUGACCGGACCCGUUUAUAAUUUACAUAUACGUGCAUGUCUCAAUUCAAACUUAUUUUAAUAUUUAUUUUUAUUGAAAAAUUUAAUAAUAUAAAUAUAUAUAUAUAUAUAUGGGAGGGCUAAAAUAUAAAAUAUAAACAAUUUUUAGCCCUUAGGUCAUUAAGGUCUACGGUUGAUUUGUAACCCUGUUGGAUGAAUUUGUGGUCCUGAGUUCGAAUUCCAAAGAUAGCAAAAAUUUAUUUUACACAAUUCGUAACCCUGUUGGAUGAAUUCAUACGUGUUCUACAUAAAAUUCGUAUAUUGAAAAAUGUUUUUAUUUUUAUUUUAAGAAGUAUUUUCACGGUAGCUCUUCCCUAUAAAUUCAUACAGUAUAAUAUAUUGCAACAUAUACAUAUAAUAUAUAUGCUUUUGAGAAAUAUAAAAUAAAUAACAAUUAUACAUCUAAUUACUAACAUUCAAUUAAAAUCAUUUAUUGUAUAUAAAUUAUAGUUUUUCUCUUUCAGACAUGUAAAUCAAUUUUUAUCGAGAUAAAAUAAAUAAUAAAAUUUAUUAAUUUAGAUUAUAUGUAAGUUAAUAUUAAUAUAUAUAUAUAUAUAUAUAUCCAUUUAUUAUUAAUUAUAUUUAUUAAGAUUAAUUUUAUCAAGAUAAAUAAAUAAUAAAAUUAUUAAUUUAGAUUAUAUGUAAGUGAAUAUUAUUAUUAUUAUUAUUAUUAUUAUUAUUAUUAUUAUUAUACAUUUAUUAUUAAUUAUAUAUUUUUUUUCUAUCAGAUUAUUAUUAAUUAUAUUUAUUAAGAUUAAUGCUUUAUAUGGAAUGUAAUAGUUAAUUAAUUUAUAAAUAAUGAAGAUUAUAUAUAAUAAAUUAUUGAAAUGAAACAAUUAUAAGCAUGCUGUAUAUGUUAAGGCUUAAUCCUAUUAUAAACAAAAUUUUGGAUUUUUUGUUAUGCUAAAAUUGAAAUUGAUAUGAUUGUUUUGCCUUUGCAAUAAGUAUUUAAUUGUUUAGUUAUGUCUUAUUAUACCUUCAAAAGUGUAAAGGUCUGACUUCACUCGAUCACCACCCAUCAUCUUUGCAUGAAGGACCAAAAUGCAAUUAGCAAAAAUUCUAAGGUUAGCUUAGCAAAUUCUGCAUAAAGUGCCCAUUACUUAAUUUGGAAGUUGAUCUUAAAAGUUCAUUUCAACGGUUGAGAUUAUUAGCUGAUAAGAGGAGCAUACAGAGGUUGUUUUGUAGCCGAUAUCUCGAGUAGAUUUAAUUAUUGUGUUGUAUGAGAAUUGAGAGAGAGCUAGAACUUCUUGAAAUCUCUAGUUUGAGAGAUUUAGUGGUUCCCAAUCUGGUAAUUCAUUUCAUCACCAUUGAUAGUGAAGAUUCGCAGUAAACUUUUUUUCGCAGUAAACUUUUUUUGAUAAAUUAACAGUAUUAAAUAAAGAAAUUUAAAGUUUACGCCACCGGAAACUCGAACUCAAGACCUUUGGCCUUAGACAUUAACUUCUUACCAUUUGACCAACACACAUACAGAUUCGAAGUCAACUUUAAUUCUAUGGAUGUAGGUUCACUUGAGCCGAACUACGUAAACUUUUAUUUCGUUUCUAUUCUGCGGUAGAAUAGGUUUUGUUUGUUGUGUUCUUGACUUGGAUAUUGAAGAUGGAUUGUGUUCUGCAUUGUUUUGUUAACAUUGAACGAAGCAAUUAACAUUUGGCGCCAUAUGUAAGGUGCAACAUAUCUAGGGAGAAACAACAACAACAAAGGUAGAAACAACAACAAAAUACGAGAGAAAUAAAUUGACGGACAAUAAUGAUUUUGGAUUAUGGCAGAUAAAAAUGAAGGUAAUUCUCAUGUAGCAAGGAUUAGCAAAUGAAUUUAAAGGCGAUAAAGGUGAUGAAAGAAGGUAAAGGUGGUUGAAAUGAUGGAGAAUGCACAUAGCACAAUAAUCUUGUGUUUGGGAGACAAACUCCUAAGAGAAGUUGCGAGAGAGAUAAGUGCAGCAGCUACGUGGAGCAAGCUAGAGAAUCUAGGGAUGGACCGGUAUGGUAUGUCGAAUUUUUUUCGCCAUACUAUAUACCCGUACCAUAAAUUGCGGUAUGAGAUUUUUCAUACCGUUACCGUACCAAACUCUUCGGCAUAUUGAAGAUCGGUAUAUAUAAAAAAUCGGUAUGAAAUUCUUCAUGCCGAUGUCGUACCAAUAGUGCGGUAUAUCAUACCAAAAUUCGGCAUAUCAUAUUUUAUGGUAUACCGAAAUUAUUGACAUAUCGUUCUAUGUUUAAAUUACAAAAAUUUUACGGUAUACCAUAUAUUUGUACACACCUAAAUUACAUCAAACAAAUAUAAUUAUGAAAAAAAUAUACUCCCUCCGUCCGCCAAAAGUGGACCAUUUUUACUAUAUCGGGCGUCCGCAAAGAAUAUACCACUUUCCUUUUAUAGAAAUGGUCCCACCAUCUACUUUAAUCUUUUAUCCUUACAAACACUCUUUGUUUACAAAAAAACCAUCCCAAAUUCAAUCUCAACCACACAUCUCAUAAAGUGGUGGGACCCUUUUAUACAUCAAAAUUAUACGAUAUUAAUCGUCCACAAAUAUCAACAUUAGAAAUAUAUAAUUUAUGACUAAUUAUGUAUAAUUUAUUUCAAUUAAUACGGUAUAUCGGUAUUUGAUAUGUAUCGGUACCGCGGUAUACACCGAAAUAUCGGUAUAUACCGCGGUAUCGGUAUAUAUCCGUAUACCGCGGUAUAAAGAAAAUUGAUACCAUUAUCGUACCAAAAUUUAUUAGUACGGUACCAUGUCGUACAGAAAUUUGCAGUAUACCGAAAAUUCGGUAUUUUUGGUAUUUUUUCGAUACGAUAAGUGCGAUAUACUGAUCUUUCGGUAUUUUGAUCCACCCCUAAGAGAAUCUAUAUAUGACCAAGUCGCUCACAAAUCACCUCUAUAUCAAAUAAAGGUUAUACUCUUUCAAAAUUCUUGGUGAUAAGGGAAUCUCAGAUCAAGUGCACGAGUUUAACAAAAUUAUAGAUGAUUUGGAGGAAUAUUGAGGUGACAUGUGAAGAUGAGGAUAAAGUGGUUAUAUUGCUUAAUGCAUUGCCUAAAUAAUAUGAGCAUAUUAAAGAUGCCAUGUUAUAUGGAAAAAAGGUCACUAUAACGCUUGAUGAGGUUCAGUGUGCCUUAAGAUCUAAAGAGAUGCAGAAGGCAUUAGAAGAUAAACAUGAAGCUAUUGUAGAAAGCUUGAAUGUAAAAUCAAAAUUCAAGAAAAAGUUCAAGAAGUCAGGAGCCAAUGCAAAAGGAAAUCCAGAGAAUAAAGAAACACAGAAAAUAAUAAAUUUUAAAAAAAGACAAAAUAAGAAAGUGCCUCUACUUCAAGAAGUCAUGACACAUGGGGGAAAAUGAGAAACCAUUAUUGAUCAUCUUUUCUUGAAAUUAAAAAAAAGGUCAAGACACUUGAAGAAAUAUUGUUUUGCUUGGAAAAGAAAGCAAUCUCAAAAGGAGAAAGCUCAAGAUUUUGCAGAUGUUGCAGAACAUUGUGAAUGAAUAGAAUUGUUGAAUGUGGUUAAUCAUCCACCGGAAAAUCAAUGGAUCUUGGGCUCUGGAUGCACUUUUCACAUUUUCCCUCAUAAAAAUUAGUUCAUUGAUUUACAUUAUGAAGAUUAAGGAUUUGUAAUAUUGGAAAAUGACCAAGUUUGUCCAAUUAAAAGAGUAGGAUGCAUCAAGAUGAGAAUGCAUGAUUGAGCAAUCAAGAUUAUUCAAGAAGUUGGGUACAUUCCUAAUCUAAAAAAGAAUUUGAUUUCAUUAGGAAUGUUAUAGUCAAAGGGACUCCAUUUAAAGUAUGAAAAUGGUGAAUUGCACGUUGCUAAAAAAUAUGUUUAUGUCAUGACACUACUACAAAAUUAUACAUACAUAACACUUAAUACAUAACGGUUUUUUCAAAAAACCGUUAUGUAUGAGCGCACUUUUAGGUAUAGAUAACGGUUUGACAAAAAACCGUUAUCUAUGUAGUGUUCUCCAUACUCAUAGAUAACGGUUUAAGUUAUUCCGUUAUGUUUGUGCGUUAUCUAUUAGUUGCAUACAUAACGGUACUACAAAACCGUUAAGCCGACCGUUAUCUAUGAGCAUCCUUUUAUAACGGUUAUUUUAACCGUUAUAUAUGAGCACCUCAAUACUGUUAUGUAUUAUUUUUUAUACUUAUUUUUAAAUUUAAUUUUAUUAUAAAAAAUCAAACCCCUAACCACCCCCACCAAAUUUCCCCAAAUCGAAGACGUCGCCCAGUACCCUCUCUAUCUCUCAGCUCUUGUCGCCGUCGGAGAUGCCGUCCACCGCCGCCCUCUGUCCGCAGCAGCAAAGCAGGCCGAGCAAGGCGAGCGUUGGGCUUGUGCUGUUGGCGGUGAUAGGCGUCGGACAGAGGCUCUUCAGAGGACUGCAGACCAUCCUCGCGCGACGGGGAGUUUGCAGAGACAAGUCGUAGCGACGCUAGCGGUGGACGGUGAAUGAUCGAGACGUGGAAGUGCAUUUCGGCGGCCAUCCAGACGGCGGCCGAGUGUACGACGGCGGCGGGCUAGGGUUUUCAAACCCUAGCUGUGAAGAAGAUAAGAAACGGGUCAGAAAGAUGGGUCUUCGGGUAAAAAUAAAAUAAAAUUCUUUCUCACUUCGUUAUUGUGUUUGGAAUUUGAGCUAAUUUGCUGAGUUCAGGGCAGGAUUACAUAUGGAGGGUUCACAAAAUCCCAGGGAGCAAGAAAUGGGAAUUGGCCAUGAGAAGCCAUCAAUUGUGGGAGGAGAUGGCUGCGAGCAUCACGAAUCAAGGUAUGGAUCCUUUGUUGGAGCAUGGUUGGACGAAGACAAGUUCAGUUCAGAUAUUGGAUUUUUUUUUCUUACCUCAAAGAGUUCUUUCCUUGUUUGUUGAUAUAAUAUGAUUUGUUGUUGUCGACUGGAUUCAACAAAUAGUUAAAUGAGAAGUUGAGUGGUGAUUACAACUAUUAUGGAAAGAGAAGAUGUAGAUUAAGUAGCUAUUCGUUGCAAAUUUUGACUUGAUAGCAAUAACCCUCCCUAGUUACAUUUUGGAUGCAAAGAUUGACAAACAACAGAAGUUAUUUACUUUACUAUAUAUGUCUGCACCAAUUAGAUGUGGUGUUAGUCUGUUAACCUAUGACUUUGUCUAAUUUGAUUUUUCAUUGUAUUUAGUUGACAUGUAUAUGAUAAUGUUAAGGAACCAAACUUUUUCUUUCUUUUAUUAGUUGAAAUGCAUCUCAAUGCAGGAAACAUGGGUAAAGAGGAACAUGGUGUUUACUGUUUUAUUAGCUCCAUUUUUGAUGAAAUCAACAAUAUAUAGUUAUAACUUGUAAACCCUCUCUUUCAGAAUUAGAAUUACAGUAGGCUCUUACAGUUCUAUGACCCGAAAGAUGUAUAUUUACUCUUCGUUAUGUCUUGUAAUGCAAGAUACUGGUUUCAGUGUUGCUGCAAGUUACUUAAUUAAACGAUACUCCUGCUCUGAAGAAGGCUGAUAUUGGAAGUGCCGUUCCUUUUCAGACCGUCGUCCAUCUGUCCGUCGGCAACUCACGCACACCGCACACGGUAAGCCCUCUCUCUCAGAAUUAGAAUUACAGAUUUGCUUGAAUUUGUUUCGAAUUUUACUUUCUUAUUGUAGUUGGGUACAUGGAAUAUUGCUUAGUUUCAUUUUAUUUGCUAAACUUAAUCAUGUGAAGCUUUUAUUAUUAAAUGAAAUGUAAAGUAUUUUCAUAGGACUAGCAGAUAGCUUGAAAUUUGAUAUUUUGGUACUUUGAUUUGGUAUCUAUUUUUUCAUAUUCAUCGCUCUGAUUUCAUGAAGCAUAGAUGGCGUUUAUGAUUUUUAGUUGUCAUUCUAGCUAGGCAUUGACAUUGAACAACCUGAUGAAAUCUUGAAACCAAAUUGCCAUUUAAUUUGUAAGGCAUCUGGAGUGUGGUCUUUUCUUUUAUUUUUCAUAUUAAUUCAUGUGUGUGUUGUGUUUGAUUUGAUGGGACUAAUUGCAGAUGGUGGGGUAUGGAUGGGCUGGGAUAUUGAGAAAAUACUUGGUUGUUCCAGUUGAGAUGUGGUGGCCUUCCAAUGUCACGCAAGUUUCCUUGUUUAGGUAAAAUAAAUCAAAAUUCUGUUAUUAAUUUCUAUUUCCAAGAGUAUUGCUGUAGAAUACAUAAUCACUACCUAUGUAGUUAUAGAAAGAUUUUGGUUGUUAAUCACCUUGGGCAAUUUGAGUGCGUUGACACUUUUGCACUUCAUGGCGUUCCCUUAUUCCAAGGCUUUGAUAUUUCUAAUCAAUUAAUGCUAGCUAUUGGUAUUUCUAAUUCUUAUUCCAAGGCUUCGACUUAUUGGUUCCAAUUGAAUUGCUGGUGUUAUUGUGGACGUGAGGUUUGAAUUCGAUUAUGAAUUUUCUUCAUGACAAGAUUUUGUCCUUUUCUAAUUUAGAAGUCAUGUUUCUUUGUAUAUUUUCACGUUUCUAAUUCUAUAAAUGAGUGUUGAGAAAUUGAAUAAGAAGUACACAUUGCAUCGAGAAUGGUUGAUUCCAGAUUAGAUUAUGGUUGGCUUUUGUGUGGUAGUAAAGUUAGUGAAAGCGAAGAAGACAACAAUAGAAUAAGAAAUUUUCAUAUUCUUGAACUUCUCUGAUAUUUACAUUUUUGUAGUAUAUUAGUUUUUUAAAUGAGUGAAGUUUCAUGUAUUAAAUUUGCUUAGCUUUGAUAUAUAUGUUGAUCUAUAUCAGUUGCUUAAAAUUGCCUAUUUUCAAUUGUUUUUUGCAGGUAAUCAGUGGCAUUAAGAAGGGGAGCAACUGUGGUUCUGUUUUGGUGCACUCGGGAAGCAUUUCUCCUACCUAGGUAAAGAGUAAACUUAAUCAGUUGGUUUGAAUGUGCUAUUGUAGGUGUCAUGUGUUAUUUUAAAAUCAGUUGGUUUCUCAAAUUCGUAGAGAUCGUUGUGAGGAGAGAAUGGACUGUAAUUCAGCAGUUUCCGGCAGCCACUCAAAAGAAAUUGGUUAACUUACACUCAAAAUUAAAGACGCAGGUAUGAAUUUUUGCUCAAAACUUAGCUUACGUUUGCUGCUACUGAUAAAACUGAAGUAAUUCCUACUAUGUUGACAUGGUUUAUUCGAAAUGGGUCAUUUCUCACAGCCUAGUUCUUGGAUUUCUUCACAUGUUUAGAUUAUCUUUUGCUUAUGAGAAAUUCUAAUAACGAUCACAUGACUUUCACUUUGAUUAUUUGAUAUAGCAUUUGGCUUUUUUGCAUAAGAUCGCCUACUGCUUCUAUGUAUACUCGAAUAAUUUCCUUUUCUUUGGCAUAGUUUCUCGUCCUUUUUAGUUAUUUAUGGGGCUUGAUGAUGAUCUUGUUGCAGAUCCCGGGUGCUUUGCAGUUUUUGCAGCUUGGAGAAAGCAGCGUUGCAUGCUUCGGGUGUACUGCGCAGGACAGGGAAGCACUUAUUCUUGAGGGACAACAACAAUGAAAAACCUUCUCUUCUGCUGCUCCAGAUGACCGAAGAUUUUGAUGAGCUUAAGUUCAUGUGAAGUUCCUUUGAGAUGGUGGUGUGGUGAGUUAGGUGGUGUUGUGGCUCCUUUGAGAUUACAGUGGUGUUACACCAUGAAUAGAAAUUCGGUGAAAAUCCCUUUUUUUUUUUUUUUUGAGUUGGGCUCAAAACAUUAUGUAUGAAGAUUUUGGAUGAUAAUGUAUGAAUAUUGUGUGAUUAUAAUAUUUUGAAUGUUAUAUAUUAUAUGUUAUCUAUGUCAAUGUCAUUUUGUUAUUUUAGAACUAUUAAUUUAAUUUUUGAGAUAAAUAAAAGGAAAAUUAAAAAAAUAUAUUCUUGUUAUAAAAAGUGCAAAAAACUGUUAUAAAAAGUGCAAAAAACCGUUAUGUAUUUUCUAUCAAAGAUAACGGUUAAAACCGUUAUAAAAAGUGCAAAAAAUUGUUAUGUAUUUCUAUCAAAGAUAACGGUUAAAACCGUUAUAAAAAGUGCAAAAAACUGUUAACUAUGAUAAAAAAAUAAAAAUAAAAUUCUAAUACAUAACGGAAAAAUCCUCAUACAUAACGGUAUAAACCGUUAUGUAUAAUCAUUAUAGAUAACGGUUUCAUACCGUUAUGUAUGAGCGUCUCGUACCGUUAUCUAUUCUCACAUACAUAACGGUUUUUUAACCGUUGUCUAUGAUACGUAUCAUAGAUAACACCACUAUACACAACGGUUUUUUUGCUCAUAGAUAACGGAUUUUAUCCGUUAUCUAUGAGCGUUUUUCUAGUAGUGUGAGGGGUAUAAAGCAUAAGAGUAUAUACUAUCAUAUUGAUGCUUAAACUAUUGUUGGUGAGUUUGAGGUUAAUCUUGUGGAUGAGUCUAUGAUAUGACAUUGCUAGAUUAGGCCAUGUUAGUGAAAAAGAUCUGAAUGAACUAUUAAAACAAAGUUUGCUUAGACACCAUAUAAAUUCUUUGUGAAUUCAUGUGAUGAAUGCAUUUUGGCAAAGAGUAAGAAACUCUCUUAUCCCACAAGCAGAAUGGUGGUCGGAUUCCAUUUGGUUAAAAAAAUAUGAGAAGAAGUUGUUGUUAUUUGAUUAACAAGUGUUCAUCAUCAGUUCAUUUUUAAAACACUAGAUGAGAUGUGGAAUGGAAGAGUUGAUGACUACUCACAUCUGAGAACAUUUAAUUGUUUAGCUUAUGCCCACAUAAGGCGUGACAAGUUGGAUCCUAGGGCAUUAAAAUGCAUAUUUAUUGGUUAUCCAAAAUGUGAGAAAUGUUAUAAACUAUAGUGUGUACGUUGUUACUAGUAAGCAAAAGGUUACUAUUAGUAGGGAUGCGGUGUUUAAAGAGAUUACUAUGUCAUAUCUUGAAGCUAACAGAACAUCACAGAAGCAAACAGGUAGUGAUCAAGUGCAUGUAGAGCUUAGUGGAUCUGAUUAACAAUUGAACUCUAACACUCGAGUUACUGAAGAUGUUUUAGACGAUGAUGAAGAAACAUCGACAACAACAAAUGAAUUAGAUUACUAUCUUUUAGCCAUACAUAGAAUAAGAAGAACCAUUAGAUCACUUGAUCGAUUUGGGCAUACUAGUCUCAUUUCAUAUGCUUUAAAUAUUGCAAAGGACAUUGAAUACAAUGCGGCAAAGAAUUAUAGAGAAGUUGCUAGUGCAAAAGAAAAAGAAUAGUGGAUAAAGGCAAUGGAAGAAGACUUAGAUUUGUUAAUUAAGAAUGCUACUUGGAUCCUAGUUGAAAAGCCCAGAGAUUAGAAAUGUAUUGGUUGCACGUGGAUCUUCAAAACGAAGAUUGAAAUUGCUGGAACGAUCGGAUAUAAAGCAAGAUUUAUAGAAAAAGCGUUUACACAGAAAGAAAACAUAGAUUUCAAUAAGUUAGUUUCGCCAACAGUAUAACAUUGCUCCAUCAGGAUAUUAUUGGCUAUUGUUGUUCAACAAAGUUUAGAACUGCGGCAACUAGAUAUCAUGACGACAUUUCUACAUGGUGAUCUGGAGAAAAGAUCUACAUGGUGCAACCAGAAAGUUUAAUUCUGCCUAAGAAUAUGUUUAUUUAAUAAAUCUACAUGGUUGAGGUUGUCCGGUGGCAACCUCAACCGCCGACCGACAACCUAUAUUGUGUUGUAGCAUAUUUAAUUUUCACUUGAAUCAUGUAUUUUAUUUUAUUUUUUUCAUAAAUAAUGGAUUAGUUAGAGAUUUUAAACUAUAUUUUAAUAAUAAAAAUAAUUAAGAAAACCCUAUAAUUUUAAAUUACCACUGCCGACAUAAACAUUAAAAUAAAAAAAAUUCAAAUAGUAUGUUACUUUUUCAGCAAUUGAUCGUGACUUGAUACAUAGUAAUUGCCAACAUUUUUUACACUUUUCUUAUGCAAAAGUGUGAGACUUUUAGUUAAAAGCAAAGGCUUAUUAGGAAGUUUACUCAAAUUUGAGCAUAAGAUCAAGUUUUUUAUAAGAGAUGACAUUUUUAAUUUAAACUUAGAAAUGUGAAACAAAGGCUGUUGGAGUUAAUUUUAACUCCAUAAAACUUUCUUAAAGUUUUGGUUUGUUUUGCCUUCUUCACGUGUGUUUUGUAGGGUCCGAAUGGCUGAGUCAAAGAGAGGUUGAAGACUCCUACAAAUAAGGAAGAUGAGAAGAGGGAAAAGAAAGAGAAAGGAAGUGGUUGGAGACUCAAACGUGACUGCUGGAAGUUAAGGGAAGAAAGUUGGUGGAGUUUGUUCCUACAAACAAGGAAAACCUAACCACUUCAACAACCACUCCAUCCAUCACUUCAGCACUUUUUCAAGCUUGGGAGCAAGUUGGAGAGCUAUAUAAUGGGAAAGUUCUCAUUCAAAGUGCAGUUGAGAGGGUGAUAUGCGAUUCUUGUACGAGUGUUAUGUUGUGUGUUACGAUAACAUCUUUUACAGCACUCAUUGUUCCCUAAGUCUGCCAAGAGCUUACAGAGAGAAAUCAAGCCAUGUAGGGCAAUUGUGUACGAGUGUGAUUCCGUAUGUUGGGAUAACAUCAGAGUCAACACUCGUUGUUUUAUUUUGUAAGGUUUCGGAGUAUUACUCUUGAAUCCAGUUUUUGUUUUUUAGUGAGAGUGUCAUGUGUUAAAUACCUAGAGUCUUGUAAAGGUAUUGAACGUGAUUUGUUCAUUCUCGAUUUAGUCAUUUUGCCAUGAGGCAUCUUCAAGUUAUAUUUUAUAACUUGAAGAAUUUUUGUAUCUGCUUGUGUCUUCUCUCAUUUUUAUUUCCGUUGCAAUAUUUCUCUGUGUCUUCUCACAUCAAGUUUGAAGGAAGCAACACUAACAAAGGCUUAUUAGGAAGUUCACUCAAAUUUGAGCAUAAGAUCAAGUUUUUUAUAAGACAAGACAUUUUUAAUUUAAACUUAACAAUAUGGGCAUUUUUAUAUAUUAACAUUUAUGUUUAUUAUGUUCUUGAUUUAGAUAUCACGACUCGAUUGUGUUCUGCAUUGUUUCACUAACAUUGAGCGAAGCAAAUUAACAAAAACAUUGUUUAAGUAUCUUCAAAAUUUCUGUCCUUAAGGGGACACCAAGCGGUGUGACCUUCUGUGUCUGAACAGUGAGGUUCCGAGUUCAAACCCCACUGCUCCCCCUCCCCAACUCCCCCAAGUCAAAAAAAGAAAAUAUCUUCAAAAUUUCUCCGCGAUACCCUAAAAAAAAAACAAAAAAAAGUCACCGCCAUAGUAUAAUAUGUGAUAUAGUGAAGUCCAGGAGAAUGACUAAUGGAGUUAAAUUAAAAUCUUGACGGCUUAGUAAAACAUUAUUCACAAGUCAAUUAUUUUGUGAGCGCAAAUGAAAAAUAUAAAUAAUUAAAUAUACAAGGUACACUCAAAUCUACUCAAAGAAUAAUGCGUAGGGUUGAACGUGAAAAAUAUUGGUUGGGGUCUCUUUUCAUACUGAAAACUAACCUUGAAAAAUCUUCUCUAUUCUUUUGUUUUGUUUUCCAUGACACAUAAUUUUCAACUAGGAAAUUGGUCCUAGUCCUACAAUAAUAAGUUAAUGGAUGUAAUCAAAAGUAGUUUAAAUUAAUUAAUUAUCCAAGACACCAUGAUGAUCUUGAAUAAUUUAACAUAAAUUGUGCCCUUAGUCUUACCCCACCAAUUGGUGCUACAACAACAUUCCCACCGCUAUAAAGAAACAUUUUUUUCCUUCUUAUUUGUGUGUGAAUCUAUAAAUAAUAAUAAAAAAAAUUGGAUCGUGCUUAUUGUAUAGUAAUUCUGAGUAUAAUAUUUAUCACACGAAUUACAUCUACUUCAUGAGUGGUUAUAUCCCAUUAUAAUAUAUAAACGGGGAGAAGACCGAAUCAAAAUGAUUUUUUAUUUAUUUAUUAAAAUACGAUUUUAUUAAAGAAGAAAAAAAGAAAAAAGAAUCUAGAAGAAACCUUAAAUACACAGAAACACAGACUAAGGGCCGAGGCUUGUUAAAAUCUUGUUAUAAAAAACUCCGUGGAAAAACCCAUAAUAAGGAAAAAGAGUACUUGUGAGCAGAAGGAAAAGUAAAAGAAGCCAAAAAAUAAAAGGACCACACGGCAACGGAGAGAUGAAGAAUUUCAAGAGCUCCAGCAACCGAAUCAAAAUGGAUAAAUAUGAUGAAAAAUGAGAAUGAAUAAGUAAUACUCCCUCUGUCUCACCCAAAGUGGUGCACUUCUUUUGGGCACGGGAUUUAUGAAAAAUAAGCUUGUAGUGUAAAUGUGUGUGGGGCCACAUUAUUUGUAGUGUAAAAUUAUUACCAAAAAAUGAAAUGCAUCACUUUCGGUGAGACAGCCCAAAAAGGAAUACGCACCACUUUCGAUGGGACGGAGGGAGUAUUAAAUUUUUAAAUUUUGGGAGUAUUAAAUUUUUAAAUUUUAUGACUGAUAUUUAUUUAAAAAAAAUAAAUUUUUAUUUGAGUUUGAAUUCUGAAGUGAACGAAAAUUUUAUCAAUUAACUGAAUUUCGUUAUACAAUCAUUAUAAACCAACUUAUGCAACUCUAUAUACAUAUAUGUUGAGUACGGUUAAUUUUGCUAUGUCUUGUUGGCUGAUAUUUUAUUUAUAAUAAAAAAACUGAUAACUACAAAUUGUAUACUAAUAAGCCUUUAAAAAUCAUCGAGUUAAAACUAAUAUUUUUGCAGUUGAAUUAAAAACUAAUAUUUCAAUAGUUAAAAAGAGACAAGCGGUGCGAACUCCUUCACGAAUAAUGAGGUCCAGGGUUAAAACCCCACCGCUCCACCUUUCCCAAAGUAAACAAAAAAAAAAGGUUGAUAACUCAUAGCUAAUUAAAAUCAACGUUUAAAAAUACAUAUCUUAACUCUGGAGUAGAAAAACCAUACUCAAUACUAUUAAAUAAAAAUUGAAAAGUGAAUAAAAUAAAGUUCAUCAUCUUUAUCACCCAUGGAUAAAUAUAAUACGGCAUGAAUCUCUCCGUUAUCCAUCCAAAAAUGUUGUCGAGUUUUCCUAUGAAGGUCAUAGUAAUCUCAAUUGUAUAUUAUAUCUUAAUCUUCCUGGUUUAAUUUUUACCUAUUUCACCUUUCUUUGUUUUUUCAAUACGUCAUUUGUGAGACAAUAUUUAUGAUUUUUAUUUAUUUUCUUUGGGCUAACUAUCUUGCCAUUUGCCAAUAUGUUGAUUGUUGAAAAUGAUUGUACUUUAACCCCUCAAUCAAUUUUAGUAUUUAACACUCACAAAUAUUUUCAGUCAUAUAUUAACAGGAAUGAACUAGACUAGAAAAAAUAGUGAUAAUGGACUGGAAAGUGUGUAUUGAUCAAUCAGUACUGAUUUGGAUUGGAAAUAAACAAAUAUUACAUCAACGUUUUCUUUUACGUAAGAUAGUUAGACUGAAAUACAUAGUUUUUUUUUGAGUAUCCGGUUUAGCUUAUAUAAUCCACACAUUUUAAAAGAUCGAUAUAUUCCACCUUGCCAAAUACAGAAAUAAUUUAUUCGGGGCGAAAUAAUAUUUAAACCACAUUACAACACUAGUUGGGUUCAUCAACUUCCUAAUAUUUGCGUAUCUGACUAUAUAACUUUUGAUAUUUGACGGAUUCCCCAUCAUUAUCCAACUAGGAAAAUACAUUUCUAAUAUUCACAAUUAUAUUAAUUAUUCCCAACAAGUAAACUUUCUCUCACUAUACAUACUAUACAUAAGUGGCUAAAAUAAAAACACAUUUUAAAAUAUACAAUAGAAACUAUUUUAAGUUCUUAUAUACAACAAAUCUAACGAUUAACUAAAUUGAUAUUUUUUCUAGAAAAAGAAAAAAACUAAGAACUCAUUGAUAACAGAAGGACGUUAACUAAGGGUUGAGUCUCACCAAAAUCUUUCCAGUGAAAACUCAGUAGCAAAAACACCGCUAAAGAAAAAAGAGUGUCCGUAUAUUACAAGAAAAAACGAAAGAAUAAACCUUGAACAAAAAUAAAGAGAAACUCGAGAGAAUGAUACCACAUUCAACAUGAAAGAGAGAAUUCAACCAAAGGAACCAGACUAAACCGAAACAAAAACCUGGCCCACCGAGAAUUAAAAAAAAAAUCCCGGUCUAGCCACCACAACCCAACACCCCUAAUAGAAACGAAACUUUGGACGGAAACAGAGCAGCACAAAACUCAUCUCUCAUGGUAAAUGACUGUGGGGCCGAAACGUAACACCUCCAAAACAACAACCGAGAAUAGGAGAGAGAAACUCCUAAGAACAUGCAUCAUACUGCCCGUCAGACAGGUGUUCUAUGAAAGAUCUAGGCAAGAAGUCAAGGAGUCAAGCCACAACUGAAAGCAGGAAAGCAGAAGGCAUUCGAGAGGGGUUAGGCGGGGCAUGCCAAAGAAGAGCAGAAAAUCCGAAAGCUUACCAAACUACUCUAGCGAAAGCUUACCAAACCACUCUAGUGAAAGCACAUCUGCAUAAACGAGAUUAAAGAUUUUCGAAUUGGCAUAAAUCCACCAUCUUUCUAUAUUCAUGCGCGAAGCUAAGCAAUCUACAAUACAGUUACGUUCCUGAAAAAUAUGAGACACAUUGAUNUUGUUUUUUAGUGAGAGUGUCAUGUGUUAAAUACCUAGAGUCUUGUAAAGGUAUUGAACAUGAUUUGUUCAUUCUCGAUUUAGUCAUUUUGCCAUGAGGCAUCUUCAAGUUAUAUUUUAUAACUUGAAGAAUUUUUGUAUCUGCUUGUGUCUUCUCUCAUUUUUAUUUCCGUUGCAAUAUUUCUCUGUGUCUUCUCACAUCAAGUUUGAAGGAAGCAACACUAAUAAAGGCUUAUUAGGAAGUUCACUCAAAUUUGAGCAUAAUCAAGUUUUUUAUAAGACAAGACAUUUUUAAUUUAAACUUAACAAUAUGGGCAUUUUUAUAUAUUAACAUUUAUGUUUAUUAUGUUCUUGAUUUAGAUAUCACGACUCGAUUGUGUUCUGCAUUGUUUCACUAACAUUGAGCGAAGCAAAUUAACAAAAACAUUGUUUAAGUAUCUUCAAAAUUUCUGUCCUAAGGGGACACCAAGCGGUGUGACCUCUGUGUCUGAACAGUGAGGUUCCGAGUUCAAACCUCACUGCUCCCCCUCCCCAACUCCCCCAAGUCAAAAAAAGAAAAUAUCUUCAAAAUUUCUCCGCGAUACCCUAAAAAAAACAAAAAAAAGUCACCACCAUAGUAUAAUAUGUAUAUAGUGAAGUCCAGGAGAAUGACUAAUGGAGUUAAAUUAAAAUCUUGACGGCUUAGUAAAACAUUAUUCACAAGUCAAUUAUUUUGUGAGCGCAAAUGAAAAAUAUAAAUAAUUAAAUAUACAAGGUACACUCAAAUCUACUCAAAGAAUAAUGCGUAGGGUUGAACGUGAAAAAUAUUGGUUGGGGUCUCUUUUCAUACUGAAAACUAACCUUGAAAAAUCUUCUCUAUUCUUUUGUUUUGUUUUCCAUGACACAUAAUUUUCAACUAGGAAAUUGGUCCUAGUCCUACAAUAAUAAGUUAAUGGAUGUAAUCAAAAGUAGUUUAAAUUAAUUAAUUAUCCAAGACACCAUGAUGAUCUUGAAUAAUUUAACAUAAAUUGUGCCCUUAGUCUUACCCCACCAAUUGGUGCUACAACAACAUUCCCACCGCUAUAAAGAAACAUUUUUUUCCUUCUUAUUUGUGUGUGAAUCUAUAAAUAAUAAUAAAAAAAAUUGGAUCGUGCUUAUUGUAUAGUAAUUCUGAGUAUAAUAUUUAUCACACGAAUUACAUCUACUUCAUGAGUGGUUAUAUCCCAUUAUAAUAUAUAAACGGGGAGAAGACCGAAUCAAAAUGAUUUUUUAUUUAUUUAUUAAAAUACGAUUUUAAGAAAGAAGAAAAAAGGAAAAAAGAAUCUAGAAGAAACCUUAAAUACACAAAAACACAGACUAAGGGCCGAGGCUUGUUAAAACAUUGUUAUAAAAAAUUCCGUGGAAAAACCCAUAACAAGGAAAAAGAGUACUUGUGAGCGGAAGGAAAAGUAAAAGAAGCCAAAAAAUAAAAGGACCACACGGCAACGGAGAGAUGAAGAAUUUCAAGAGCUCCAGCAACCGAAUCAAAAUGGAUAAAUAUGAUGAAAAAUGAGAAUGAAUAAGUAAUACUCCCUCUGUCUCACCCAAAGUGGUGCACUUCUUUUGGGCACGGGAUUUAUGAAAAAUAAGCUUGUAGUGUAAAUGUGUGUAAAUGUGUGUGAGGCCACAUUAUUUGUAGUGUAAAAUUAUUACCAAAAAAUGAAAUGCAUCACUUUCGGUGAGACAGCUGAUAACACUCAUGUUUCCAUUGUUUUUAGUGUUCUUAUGAUGUAAAUUUUAUAGGAAAUUGAGUGUUGGAUGAUUGUUUUGUGCUUAAAUUGCUUUAUCUUGUGAAAUAUGUUACUUGCUCGUACUUUGAUGAUUUUUACAGAAAUAUGGAGUUCGAAUUUGGACCAAUGCUCUUAAUGAAAGUUGUAGAUCGUCUCGAUACGAGUUCGUAGGCGCAAACGGUUCUCAAAUCCGAGUUCGGACGAGGAAGAUAUGGCCGAAACAAGAAAGUCGCGCGCAGCAGUGAAUAGUGCCCGACGGGAAUUUCCGAAUUUUCGGGAUUUUGCGGGAUUUUCGGAUUUUAUCAGUAUUUUCGAGCUCUGUACUGUAUUUAUCUCCUGUGCCUAUAUAUAGGUCAUUUCCCUGACCUAUUAGACACAUCUUUUUACAUCUCUUUACCUCUUUUCUCCAUCUUUUCAGUUUUAGACUUAGACUUUUUAUGUUUUCAUAGAUUAGCUUUAUUUUCCUACAAGAUUCAAGCUGUCAUUCAACAUUCUUCCGGGUUUUAUCUAUUUUAUUUAUUUCAAUUGCUUUAUUUUAUUUAUGCUUUUAUUUUAUUUUAUGAUGUCUAGCUAGUUCUUUAUCUGAUUCUAGGGUUUGUAAAUAGUUGAUUGAAUUUAUGUGAUUAAUUUGUUAAUACCUUUGUGCCUUCCAGUUUAUGAUUCAUAAUUCCUGGUGCUUAAUUUCUUGUGAAUUAUCUGAUCAAUAGUUUGCAUGUGUAACUAUUCGGUUUGAGACCUAGCGGAGAUAACUGUUUAGCGGAUUCAGGAAUGUAUGAUAUGAUUUUAACCUUAAGACCUAGCGGAGAUAGGUGGAGCAUAGGGAGCUAUUCUUAGGAGCUAUUGGGAGUUAGUAGAUUUUCUUGAGACCUAACGGAGAUAGAAAAUUUACUAAUCUACGAUCGUUGCUGCUCUAGCGAGAGUAAUUGAUUAAUUAAGUGAUCUCUCAUCAUAACUGGAUUAAACUGGUAAUUAGGAUUAAUAGGUUGAUUAUGUGAAUUUGAUUAAUGAAUAUAUCCCUAGGAUCAGUCGUUUUCUUUAUCUGUUUUUUUUAUUUGAUUUUAUUUGUUUUGUCUUGAGUUUAGUUUUUAUUCUCCUUCAUAUUUUUGGUUGUCUGAAUAUUGCUAUAGGAAAUAUUAGGAUUACUUAGAGUAAUUUCGUUUAUCAGUCCCUGUGGAUACGAUACUCGGUUAUUGAUUAUUUGCUACAAUUGCACCGUGUUAGUUGCGGUAUUUGUUGCUAAGAAAUUAGUGAUCAACAGCCCAAAAAGGAAUACGCACCACUUUCGAUGGGACGGAGGGAGUAUUAAAUUUUUAAAUUUUAUGACUGAUAUUUAUUUAAAAAAAUAAAUUUUUAUUUGAAUUUGAAUUCUGAAGUGAACGAAAAUUUUAUCAAUUAACUGAAUUUCGUUAUACAAUCAUUAUAAACCAACUUAUGCAACUCUAUAUACAUAUAUGUUGAGUACGGUUAAUUUUGCUAUGUCUUGUUGGUUGAUAUUUAUUUAUAAUAAAAAAACUGAUAACUACAAAUUGUAUACUAAUAAGCCUUUAAAAAUCAUCGAGUUAAAACUAAUAUUUUUGCAGUUGAAUUAAAAACUAAUAUUUCAAUAGUUAAAAAGAGACCAAGCGGUGCGAACUCCUAUCUACGAAUAAUGAGGUCCAGGGUUAAAACCCCACCGCUCCAUCUUUCCCAAAGUAAACAAAAAAAAAAGGUUAGAUAACUCAUAGCUAAUUAAAAAUACAACGUUUAAAAAUUAACAUAUCUUAACUCUGGAGUAGAAAAACCAUACUCAAUACUAUUAAAUAAAAAUUGAAAAGUGAAUAAAAUAAAGUUCAUCAUCUUUAUCACCCAUGGAUAAAUAUAAUACGGCAUGAAUCUCUCCGUUAUCCAUCCAAAAAUGUUGUCGAGUUUUCCUAUGAAGGUCAUAGUAAUCUCAAUUGUAUAUUAUAUCUUAAUUUCCUGGUUUAAUUUUUUACCUAUUUCACCUUUCUUUGUUUUUUUCAAUUACGUCAUUUGUGAGACAAUAUUUAUGAUUUUUAUUUAUUUUCUUUGGGCUAACUACUUGCCAUUUGCCAAUAUGUUGAUUGUUGAAAAUGAUUGUACUUUAACCCCUCAAUCAAUUUUAGUAUUUAACACUCACAAAUAUUUUCAGUCAUAUAUUAACAGGAAUGAACUAGACUAGAAAAAAUAGUGAUAAUGGACUGGAAAGUGUGUAUUGAUCAAUCAGUACUGAUUUGGAUUGGAAAUAAACAAAUAUUACAUCAACGUUUUCUUUUACGUAAGAUAGUUAGACUGAAAUACAUAGUUUUUUUUGAGUAUCCGGUUUAGCUUAUAUAAUCCACACAUUUUAAAAGAUCGAUAUAUUCCACCUUGCCAAAUACAGAAAUAAUUUAUUCGGGCGAAAUAAUAUUAAACCACAUUACAACACUAGUUGGGUUCAUCAACUUCCUAAUAUUUGCGUAUCUGACUAUAUAACUUUUGAUAUUUGACGGAUUCCCCAUCAUUAUCCAACUAGGAAAUACAUUUCUAAUAUUCACAAUUAUAUUAAUUAUUCCCAACAAGUAAACUUUCUCUCACUAUACAUACUAUACAUAAGGGACUAAAAUAAAAACACAUUUUAAAAUAUACAAUAGAAACUAUUUUAAGUUCUUAUAUCAACAAGAUCUACGAUUACUAAAUUGAUAUUUUUUCUAGAAAAAAAAGAAAAUAAAAAACGUAAGAACUCAUUGAUAACAGAAGGACGUAACUAAGGGUUGAGUCUCACAAAACUUUCCAGUGAAAACUCAGUAGCAAAAACACCGCUAAAGAAAAAAGAGUGUCCGUAUAUUAAAGAAAAAACGAAAGAAUAAACCUUGAACAAAAAUAAAGAGAAACUCGAGAGAAUGAUACCACAUUCAACAUGAAAGAGAGAAUUCAACCAAAGGAACCAGACUAAACCGAAACAAAAACCUGCCACCGAGAAUUAAAAAAAAAAUCCGGUCUGCCACCACAACCCAACACCCCUAAAGAACGAAACUGGACGAAACAGAGCAGCACAAAACUCAUCUCUCAUGGUAAAUGACUGUGGGGCCGAAACGUAACACCUCCAAAACAACAACCGAGAAUAGGAGAGAGAAACUCCUAAGAACAUGCAUCAUACUGCCCGUCAGACAGGUGUUCUAUGAAAGAUCUAGGCAAGAAGUCAAGGAAUCAAGCCACAACAGCCACAACUGAAAGCAGGAAAGCAGAAGGCAUCGAGAGGGGUUAGGGGGGCAGCCAAAGAAGAGCAGAAAAUCCGAAAGCUUACCAAACUACUCUAGCGAAAGCUUACCAAACCACUCUAGUGAAAGCACAUUUGCAUAAACGAGAUUAAAGAUUUUCGAAUUGGCAUAAAUCCACCAUCUUUCUAUAUUCAUGCGCGAAGCUAAGCAAUCUACAAUACAGUUACGUUCCUGAAAAAUAUGAGACACAUUGAUGUCCAUAUUAAUGGUGAAGCUGAGAGUCUUAUUUCACCUACUUUUGAAACGCCAAGGAACACCUCGAGAACAAGUGGAGAAAAGUCGGACCAUGUAUGUCAAAUUUGACUUGAUCCAGAUUCGGCCAACUGAAACAAAAGCUCGUUCCAUCGCAAUAUAAUAAGAGCAAAGAGCUCAGCUCAAAGGCGACACCGCGUCCUCUCCCCCCCCCCUCCCUCCCUCCCUCUCCCCAGAAGUGGAAGCAGCCAAGGACCUCGUUAAAAGCAUUAUCGACACACCCCUCCGCCAUGAAUAUGCUCUGGAGAGCCCCAGACUGACCCGUGAUAUUAAUCUUGAGCCAAUUGGGAAAGAAGCCGCCAGUGCCAUGUGUGCCCAAGUAGUAGAAUAUGCAAAUAUGAGACUGUGUUGCUCAUGAACCCAAGUUUGGAGAAGGAAGCUUCUUUAAGAGAAAUCUUGAUAAACGAUAAUAACUUUAAGUGACGGGAGUACAUCUUCAAAAUGACUUUUUUUUACACAAAUCCUAAAUACCCCAAAUGCCCGAAAUGAUCCCAGCUUUCCAGAAAUUCGUCACCUGCGAUCCAACUGAGAUGUCUAUUGCAAAAAGAAUUUAAGAUACCCGAUCUGAAAUACCAAAUAGUCUUGCUGGAACCAUUAAAAAGAUAAUUCCAAAAAUGUUGUGAAAAUUCACAAAUCCAGAAAAACGUGAUCAAUAUUCUUAGCUUCUUUCAUACAAAGCAUACAAAUAUUAGGACCAAUAGUGCCAUGACUUGCAAUGAGUCUUAGUGGGGAGACGAACAAGGAUCAUCCGCCACGCAACAAUAGAUGUGACGUGUGGGAAUGAAGGGGGCCCAAAUCCAUUUACCCCAACUCACAUCCGGUAGCGAUGGAGCUGAAAAUCUAUAGGCGGAAGUUGGGGAAACUUCCCCGAACCCAUCAUGGAUCUAGAAACUCUCAUCAUUAACAUCGGAGAUGGCGAUAGAAAUAAAUAUCGAAGACCACAUCGAGAUAAGCAUGGAUGAAGUCCUCCGUAAAAUGCCACGUGUUAUCAUAAAAAUAGUCCAAUAUAGGUUAGCGAAGAAAGUUAUGAAUGGCCGAAGGGAUAUGGAGAUGGACCACCAACUGGUAACCAAUUCAAUUAUCAAGCCAAAAACUGAUGGAUUGUCCAUCACCCACCGAGCAAAAAGAAUCAAGAUUUACGAUUGAUUCAUUAGUUUGUUUGAUGAAUUCAUGGUCCUAAAUUCGAAUUCCAUAAAUAGCAAAAAAAAAUUAAUUUUCGUAAUUCAGACAUCUACAUAGUGAAUUUAUACAUGUUCUACAUAGAAUUCUUCUAUUUACAAACGAUUUCUCUAAGAUUAUAUUUCGACCAUUAAAUUAUGGGUAGAUCAAUGAUGUAGAUUUAUUCCUAUUUUAUAAUAUUAUAAAAGUUGUUUUUAAACUAGGACUCCCAUGUAUGUGUGUGUGUGUGUGUGUGUGUAGGGGUGGGCUACCAUGAAAACACUUUUAAGUGUAUAAAAUAAAAACAAAUCAUGUCCAUUAGAUCAUAGUGAAUUAAUGGCCCAGAUCAAAUUAUAUGGUGAUCCGAAAUUCGUAACUGUUUCCCUUGCAAUUCAUACGUUUUUCUUAUUACGAAUUAAAAGUAUUUUUGUUAAGAAGUAUAUUCUAUGCAGGAAUUUGAUGUUCUUUUGUUACGAAUUAUGUUCUGAUUAUGCAAAUUUCAAGCCACAAGAUCAACCAAGGUCUAAUGGACAAGAUUUGUUCCUAUUUUAUACACUUAAAAGUAUUACUCCCUCCGUCCCAUUAAAGUUGGCCACAUUCAUUUGGGCACGGAGAUUAAGAAAGAAAUUGUUGUGUAUUAAUUAAGUGUGGUCCAAUAAAAUUAAAAAGUUAAUUAGAUAUGGUCCACAUUUUACUUCUCACUGCACCUUCUGGCUGCCGGCAACUGCGGCGCCAGCGACGGGGACACCGACGGUCGUCCAGAAACCCCUUGUCCUGAGAAUCGCAUAGGCAACAAUCAAAAACUAAAAAAUCAAUCCAAUUUUCCUCAACCAAACCAGAAAAUCAAUUUUCCCCAAUUUUCUUCGAUCAAACCAGAAAAUCAAUCCAAUCAAAUACGAAAAAUCAAAAAUCAAACCACUUGUCAUGAGAAUCGCAUGACCGCGGCCUCCCACCCGCAGAGAUGAGAGACCGAGAGAAAGAGGGGUGAGCCGACGGCUGGUUGCUGUGAGAGAAGAGCGGCGCCGUGGCUGGAAAAGGGCACUGCCGUGGCUGGGGAAAGGGAAUCAGGUGAUUGACGUCCCCAAUCACCACCGUCCCAAAAUCGUGCCACCUAGAUCUGGGCGAACCACCCCCAAAUCGCGGAUCCCGUACCUAAGGUAAGCGAUUGCUGCCUUGCUCAUGGAGACGAAGGCAGAUUCAGACGGGGAACCGGCGUAGACGAGAAAGAGAGAAGGCGUUGAUGGAGAGAGCAGAGGCGACGUUUUCAGUGUGCGCGCGCACGCACAACGAGAGAGAUAGAGGGAGAGAACAGAGGCGAGGGAGGUCGGGGGGGGCGGGGCGACGGCCGGCGGCGGUGUCGUCCACCGGAGAAGAAGAAAGAAGGAGAGCUUAGAAAGUGGGCGGCUAGGUUAGGUGCAAAUGAUGGAAAAAUAGAUUUAAGUAGGUUAAAUUCGGGUUUACUUAAUAACUUAAUUAGUGGCCUUAAUUAAGUUAAAUUUUUGCCAUUUUUAGAAAGUGGCCAACUUUAGUGGGACAAACAAAAAUGAAAAUGUGGCCAACUUUAAUGGGACGGAGGGAGUACUAUUUUAGCCCACCCCCUAUAUAUAUAUAUAUAUAUAUAUAUAUAUAUNNNNNNNNNNNNNNNNNNNNNNNNNNNNNNNNNNNNNNNNNNNNNNNNNNNNNNNNNNNNNNNNNNNNNNNNNNNNNNNNNNNNNNNNNNNNNNNNNNNNNNNNNNNNNNNNNNNNNNNNNNNNNNNNNNNNNNNNNNNNNNNNNNNNNNNNNNNNNNNNGUUACUACCCGUACCUACUAUAUAUAUAUAUAUAUAUAUAUAUAUAUAUAUAUAUAUAAAAUUUAUUUUCGUAAGUUAAUGAGGCCUAGUUCAAGUGACAAAGCUGAGUGAUCCAAAGAUUAUCCUUUAUGAGAGAUCUUGGUUUCGUUAUUUUUUCACCUUUGUGUGGUGUAAAUGGUAGAGAUCUUAUCUGUGUGUAAUUAUUUUUCCACGUUUGUGUUGUGCAUGUGGAUUGGUUAUUUGAUCAUAUAUUAGAUGCCUUUUAUAAGUUUUAAAAAUAAAAAAGUUCUUUUACUUGUCGGGGGAUUUAAAAUUUGGUUAUUAAAAAUUUAAUAAUAAAUGAUACAAUCGAUAUAGUAUUAUAAUACUUCAUCCGUCUCAUUAUAAAUAUCCCACUUUUCAUAAUGGGACAUGUCAUUAUAAAUGUCUCAUUCUUUUUCUGACAAUAUAUUAUCUUUAUAUUUAAUAUUUAAAUAAUUUUCAUCAACCACUUUAUCUACUUUCUACACAUUUUUAAUCUCCGCGUCCAAAGUAAUGGGACAGAGAGAGUGUAUUAAUUAGAUGGAAAAUAGUACUUUUAAUAAAAUUAAUAUCUACAAUAAAUAUAUAUUUAUCAUUAUAAUAUGUUCUGUACACAUUUUUACAUACAUGAUUUACAAAAUGUUAUGAACUGAUUUAUGAAUAUUUACAAAAUGAUUUUAGAACACAAACUAAAAAAAAUCACGUACAAUCAAUAAUUUUUUUUAAAAAUGUUAGAUUUUAAAAUUACCUACCCAUCAUGAUCAAAAAUAAUAUUGCCAUAUUUAACACCUAUGUUUGGACUAAACGAAAACAAACACCGACUUAAUAUAUAUUCAUACAUGGCAACUAAAAAAAAAAAUUACGUGUAUAUAUAAAUGUAUACCCGUAGUAAUAUAAUCUUCAUGCAAAGUAUUAUUAACAUAGAUCUUUCUUUUAAAUAAAUAAUAUGUAAUAAUUAAAAUCCAUUUAAUCUGAACAUUUAUAAAUUCGUUCUCUAAAUCCAUCUUUCAACCGAGUGGGAUCAUAAAUUAUCAAAUACAUGAAUUUAGGUAUUCAAACAAACGUACACACAAAAAUAGGAAAAAAUCACAAAUGCACAAGAAAACAAGUUACAUCAUAAAUUGCCCCGUCUAUUACAUCACACCUCCAACUCCAAGCCACCCGCCCAACAAAUUUACCCCAAACACGAUCCUAUAUCCGUUUAAAGACUAAUUGUUUAAAAAAAUUAUAUUUAAAUAGCAGCCAUAUUGAUUCAUCAUAACGAACAUACAAUUCAUAAAUUAAAAUUUAAAAUAAAUAAUUUUAGCUUAUAUAAAUUCUUCAACAUCACAUAAAUAAUAUAGAGCUAAUAUAUAAAACUAUCCAUUUUCAUAUUGUAAAAUUAAAAUUUAGCCUAUCAUAUAAAAAUAUUAAAAAGUGGCCAGUUUUUGAACAAAAAGUCGAAAGUACCCCUCUCCCAAAAAUCUAAAAUUCUCGCUCUCUCUAUCACGUACUCUCUCUCUCACUGAACCCUCUUUCUCUCUCGCCACCCCCUGCCGCCCCGGCCUCGCCGCCUCCGCCAUCUCCUGCUUCACCCCCGCCGCGACUUUAGCCUCCGCCCGCCACCAAUUCCUUCGAAUUAGAGUAGGAUGAGUGCGGCAGCGCUUCGAGUUCCGCGGCAGCUACGGAGGAUCUCACCGACGCGCCGUUGUUUCUAGGGUUUCUGACGAGCUGGUCGCCGNUAACCGACACCUACUAUAUAUAUAUAUAUAUAUAUAUUGCAUUAAAAUAAAAAUACAUCUUAAAAUAUGUCAUUAGUAUUUAUAAUUUUCAUUGUGUAAUGUUUGAACUUUGAUCUUUAAAUUUAGGUAAAUAGAUACCAUUAGAAAAUAUAUAUGCUAUUAUCUUUUAAUUAUUUGGGUUAGCUAGUAAAAUCAACUAAUUAGAUCUUGAAACGCAACGUGAUGAAAAUGAUAGAUCCAAGUUUCUUUUUAUAAGCUUCUUGAAAGAAAAAAAGUUCAAGAAAAAGGUUUUUUUUUCGUAAGUUAAUGAGGCUUAGUUCAAGCGACAAAGUUGAGUGAUCCAAAGAUUAUCUUUUAUGAAAGAUCUUGGUUUCGUUAUUUUUUCACCUUUGUGUGGUGUAAAUGGUAGAGAUCUUAUCUGUGUGUAAUUAUGUUUCCACGUUUGUAUGGUGCGUGUGAAUUGCUUAUUUGAUUAUAUAUUAGAUGCCUUUUAUAAGUUUUAAAAAUAAAAAAUUCUUUUAUCUGUCGGGAUUUAAAAUUUGGUUAAUUAAAAAAAAAAAUAUAAAAAAUUAUAUGUCAUGAAAUAUAUUCUAUUGAGAGAGUGUUGUGUGAUUGAUAUGAUAAAAAUUGCAAUAGUCCGUGUAGCGUUAAUAUUCAUAUAAAUCCAUUAAUGAUGUAUACAUGUUAAAUUUGAUAUAAUCGAUAUAGUAUUAUAAUACUUCCUCCGUCUCAUUAUAAAUAUCUCACUUUUUAUAAUGGGACAUGUCAUUAUAAAUGUCCCAUUUCUUUUUUGACAAUAUAUUAUCUUUAUAUUUAAUAUUUAAAUAAUUUUCAUCAACCCUCUUUAUCUACUUUCUAAACAUGUUUAAUCUCCUCGUCCAAAGUAAUGGGACAGAGAGAAUAUAUUAAUUAGAUGGAAAAUAGUACUUUUAAUGAAAUUAAUAUCUACAAUAAAUAUAUAUUUAUCAUUAUAAUAUUAUAAUAAUAUGUUAUGUACACUUUUUUACAUACAUGAUUUACAAAAUGUUAUGAACUGAUUUAUGAAUAUUUACAAAAUGAUUUUAGAACACAAACUAAAAAAAAUCACGUACAAUCAAUAAUUUUUUUAAAAAUGUUAGAUUUUUAAAAUUUACCUACCCAUCAUGAUCAAAAAAUAAUAUUGCCAUAUUUAACACCUAUGUUUGGACUAAACGAAAACAAACACCGACUUAAUAUUCAUACAUGGCAACUCAAAAAAAAAUUACGUGUAUAUAUAAAUGUAUACCCGUAGUAAUAUAAUCUUCAUGCAAAGUAUUAUUAACAUAGAUCUUUCUUUUAAAGAAAUAAUAUGUAAUAUAUUCGUCCCUCGAAUUUUAACACGUUUUUCUUUUUGGACCGUCUCACGAAUCUUGACACAUUUUCAAAUAAGGUAAUAAUUAUUAGAAACAAUAGGACCGAAUGUCCCUAUUCAACAUACAACAUCAAAUUUUGUCCACCAUUUGAAAAAACAUAAAUUUUGGCCAUUUUUUGUAUGUCAUGACUAUUCUACCCUUCUCUCUCUCUCCUCUCUCUUCUCAUCUCCUCUCUCUCUCUCUAGCGGCUCCUCUCUCUUUCUCAUCUCCCUCUCUCUGCUCCAGCGGCUCCUCUCUCUUUCUCAUCUCCCUCUCUCUCUCUCUCCAGCGGCUGCGCGGCAGCGGCGCCGAGCUUGGAGAAUUCGUCGGAGCUCUCGCGGCGGUGGUGGAGGAGAUCCUUCCUCUCUCUCUCUUCAGCGGCUGCCGCUCUCUCCUCUCUCUUUCUCAUCUCCCUCUCUCUCUCUCCAGCGCGCGGCGGCGGCAGAUCUGGUCUGAUGAGGCGGCGGCGGUGGAUCUGAUCUAAUCGUUGCGCCGCCUCCUCCAUCGCCCGCCUCCUUCAAUUUCAGCCAUGGCAGAUCUGAUCUGAUCUGUGUGCUGCACGUAUGGCACUUAUGGCACUAUUAGUGCCAUAAAUGCACACUUCCCCCUAGGGUUUAGAUAUUCCAUUUAGGGUUUAGAUUAUCCAUUUGAGGUUUAGAUGUUCCAGUUAGGGUUUAGAUUAUCCAUUUAGGAUUUAGAUGUUCCAUUUAGGGUUUAAAUGAUGUUGUUGUUUCUGUAUUUGUGCUGCACAUAUGGCACUUAUGGCAAUAUUAGUGCCAUAAGUGCCCAAAAUGAUUAUUUUACUUGGUUUUAUUUUGGAUUUCCGUUGGCACUUAUGGCACUAAUAGUGCCAACGGAAAUCCAAAAUAAAACCAAAGUAAAAUCUUGGCACUUAUGGCACUAAUAGUGCCAUAAGUGCCUAACCCGACCCGGCACGCGACCCGCGUGCUUGAUCCUACCCGGUCCGCCUCAUUAAGGGUAAAAACGUCCACAUCAAUAAAAAUGGCCAAAAUUUGUGUUUUUUCAAUGUGUGGCCAUAAAUUGUGUUUUAUGCUUCAUUUUGGCUACUUCAAAAUUUUACUCUAAUUAUUAUAUUCUCUCUCUUACUUUAUCACUUUUAUUACAUUCUCUCACCUACUUUAUUACUUUGAUUACACUUUCUCUCAUACUUUAUCAUUUUAAUUUAUACUUUAUUAACUUCACACUUAAAACAAUAAUCUACAACUCCUUAAUUCUCGUGCCCAAAUCAAACGUGUCAAGAUUCGUGGGACGGAGUGAGUAAUAAUUAAAAUCCAUUUAAUCUGAACAUUUAUAAAUUCGUUCUCUAAAUCCAUCUUUCAACCGAGUGGGAUCAUAAAUUAUCAAAUACAUGAAUUCAGGUAUUCAAACGUACACACAAAAAUAGGAAAAAAUUACAAAUGCACAAGAAAACAAGUUACAUCAUAAAUUGCCCCGUCUACUACAUCACACAUCCAACUCCAAGCCACCCGCCCAACAAAUUUACCCCAAACACGAUCCUAUAUCCGUUUAAAGACUAUUUUUUUUUUAAAUUAUAUUUAAAUAGCAGCCAUAUUGAUUCAUCAUAACGAACAUACAAUUCACAAAUUAAAAUUUAAAAUAAAUAAUUUUAGCUUAUAUAAAUUCUUCACAUAAAUAAUAUAAUAGCCUAUAUUAAAUUUAUAAUUUAUCAAAAUAUGAAUCUAUAUUUUAUCAAAAAAAGAAAUAUGAAUCUAUACCCUCAUACUCGAUCCGAAUCAAAUACGAGUAUGAAAUAGUAGUAUAAACUUGUACUCGACCUUGUCCCUAAUAUUUUGCUCCGUUCCUAUUAGAGCUGGGUAUCCGCGGGUAAAACUGCCAUAUUAGUUAUUAGUCAUAGUUUAGCAAGAUUUAGCAUUAACAUACUUUCAGUUCACAAAUUUAUUUGAUGUUCAACACAAAUUUAAUUUCGUGAACUUUGACCAGCUAUUUAAUUAAAAAUGGAUAUUAAAUUGUUUUUGUUUUUUUUUUUAGAUUCAGUGGAUAUUAAAGUGUUUUGUUUUUAGAUUCAAUGGAUAUUAAAGUGUUAAUACAUAACAAUUCGGUAAACCCAAAAUAAUGUUUUGGAAGUUUAAUGUAGGGAUGAAAUUGCCUUGACUAUUAAAAUAUGAAACGAAAUUAGUUUAAUUGCAGAAAUAAUUAACAUCAUAAUGACCAGAACGUGAAGGGCCUCUUCCUUUUUGGGAUUUUCGGUUACUUGUUAGGGGAAGAAUAUUGUCACAAGAAUGCAUUAAUUUAUAUCUGUAUCACAUGCAUGGAAUUUGGAACUCUUCUUUUCGAUUUUUAUUUAUUUAUUUAUUUUUAUUUGUUAAGCAAAUGGAAAUACUUGUGUUAAAUAGUUUGGAUGCAUAGUGUGUAUACGGGACUGAUCCGAUAUUGCUUUCUCACCCCCAAUUCCUACAUUAUAUCAAGGCUAAUUUAUCCUCCAAAUUAAAAAAAAAUAAUAAUCGGCCUUUUAUUUUUAUUUUUUUAAAAAAUCGGCCUUUUAUUUUUAUUAAUUAACUUUAGGAAGCAAAAGUACAAAAAUGCCGUUUAUACUAAAUUACCUUAAUAAAUAUAAAUAUAAAUAACACAAAAGACAAGAACCAUUGGACAACCAACAUAGAUUUACCGAAUUCAGAAGCGCUAAAACGGUAAAUACCGAUUUACCGCAAAUAUAUUUCUUCAACUUAUUAACCGUACAGGAAUGGAAAAUCUUCUUUGCUUUUAAAAUUGUAAUAACAAAAUGGCCAAUCACAUUCUCUCUCUCUCAGUUCUUCCAAUGUAAGUGAAAAAAAAUACAAAACAUAAGCGAAACAAAACAUUAUUUUUAUUUUUGGGUUCACACAGUAGAAUGAACAUAUAAAUACUUAUACUAUAAGAAAACAAAGCAACGGUUCUGCGUUCAUGGCCACUGCCCUCCCCUACUUUCUCUCUCUAAUCCAAUAACUCAAUUUUCCAUUCCUUUUCUCCGAAUUUUGUUCACUAGAUUUCAUCCUAUGUGUAUCUUCCGAGCAAUGUCAAGCGGCGGAGCCACCAUCAAUCCACCCACCGCCACCACCCCCACCGUCACCCACCACCGCCGCCGCGUCGCCGACACCGAUCAGGAGAAGGAGAAGCCCGCCGCCGAUCCGGCGCCAACCUCCGCCGCUUCGGAUCGCUCGAAGAGAGACGCGGACGAAGAGGCAAUGUUCAGCAACAGCAACGGCAGCGGCAGCGCCCACGGCGGCGGAGGGGGAGGCGGGGGAUUGUACCACCACCACCAUCACCACCACCCGACAAUACGGUAUCUGCUGUCGCGGAAGAGAGUGCCGGAGAGUUGGAUUUUGCGCGGCGAGGAAUGUGUGUUGAGUGCGUGUGCAGUUUUCAAUUCUUUGACCUCAAGGAAGAACAUGGGGCGCACGGUUUUCGUGUUCCUUUUGGUGUUGAUGAUGGUCUCGGCCUUCAUGAAGUUCUCCUUCGGCGGCGCUGUCUCCGGCGCCGGCAAUAUUAUCAGGACGGAGAAGGAGAUUUUGUUUAUUCACAAUUUUAAGAACGAUUUGUCGUCUAAUGCCCAUAUGGCCGUUUUUGAUUCCGAAGCAUCGAACGGCGCCGCUUUGCAGAAGCGGCAGAUGAAGGAAUUUCCGGUGAGUAGUUUCUCUCUCUCCUCCCUCUCAACUUGUCUGUUUCCAUUUUUAGCUUAACUUUGGAUUUCGUGAAAUUAAUUUUGAUUUUAUCUUAGAUUCUGUGUUUUUGUGAUUCUAUAUUUCGCAUUUUCCAACUCGAAUUGUGAAAAUAUUUUAUGAAAGUCCGAGAAUCAUCUGCACUGCACAUUCCAUGUUUUUCCCAUCAGUAGCGUAGCGUUUGUACUCUGUCUAAGCAAAAGCAAUCAUCAAUUAUUAAAGGAUGGGAGUUUCUUUUCCCUGGGAUUAUCAUCUCAUUAAUGCUGCUCUCAUUUAUUUAUUUAAUUAUUGCUGUUAAUAAAAUUAAGGAAAGGUAUUUUUGGUUGUUUGUUUACAACAAGAACUUAGUGGGCGGCAACAAUGAGCGUUGAAGUUUCCCUUAGUUUGCCUUUGACCCGUUUCGUCUAUUAUUAUUAUCCACGUGGAAUUCUGCUGAUUAUUUGACCGUUGCGCUGCCAAAAGCUAACCCCCACCGAAAAAAAUAAAAAAUAAAAUCAACAAUAAAUGAAAUAAAACAAAAUUAUAGUUUCAUGCUAUAUUAUCAAUAUCAAUUUGCCUUCACAUUUCACAUGUUUGCAUUGAAGAAACAGUACAAUUUGUUCUGUUCUUGAAUUUUCUGGAUUCCCGUCGUUUUCUGUAUUCCAAUCUCGUGUCUGAUUUCACACUUGAAGAUCCAAUGAAAAUCUUGUUUGCUUUUGAGGAACUCCUUUUUUAAUAACUGCAGACAGCUAAAAGUCAUAAAUCUUUUCAUAUUUUUCUGGCUUGAGUAUUUUUUGACGAAACUCCAUCAUUUGACUAGUAAACAAUGAAUUUGAGUAGAGCUAAUUAUUGGAUUAUUUCACACAGGUCCCAGAAAUAUGGAUGAAACCCAAUAGUGACAACUACUACAGAUGCAUAAAUCGACCAAGAAAUUGGAUAAGUACGUCACAUUCCUCAGCUGCUUCUCUCUGUUACAAGCCCUCAACAUUUUUUUUUCCUGAUAUAAUAAGGUUGCAAAAAAUUGUUCAGGGACAAGCAACAAGACGAACGGAUACAUUUUAGUUCAUGCAAACGGAGGAUUGAAUCAAAUGAGAACAGGCGUAAGUAGUUGAUCUAGUUGCAGUUCUUAGCUAGCCGGCCGAAUGCUGUAGUAAAUCUCAUAAUGCACAUGAAAUCUUUGAAUGCAGAUAUGUGAUAUGGUUGCAGUAGCAAAGAUUAUGAAUGCCACUCUUGUGCUUCCUUCCCUUGAUCAUCAGAGCUUUUGGACAGAUCCGAGGUGUGAAUUGUUUGUUUUUAAUGUCAUCCAUCACUUGCCAUAAUAUUCUUCCAUUCUUAGCUUUGUAAUAAUCUGUGUUUAAUUUCCUUUUUCUUGGUUUUUGCAGUGACUUCAAGGAUAUCUUUGAUUGGAAGCAUUUUAUCGAGGCUUUGAAAGAGGAUAUCGACAUAGUUGAGACGCUGCCGCGACGGUAUGCAUCGUGCAUCCCCUGAUCAAGGCGCCCGUGUCAUGGUCCAAGGUACAACAACACUCUUGCUGCAACGUACAACCUGUUAGUGCAGUUGGUGGAUCGAAAUCCAAGUUACUGAACGUUGUUUACCGUUGAAUUACAGGCUAGUUACUACAGAGGAGAAAUCCUUCAUCUGCUGAAGAAGCAUAAGGUCAUCAAGUUUACGCAUACAGACUCGCGCCUCGCCAACAAUGGCCUGCCCUCCUCCAUACAGAAGCUGAGGUGCCGUGCUAACUAUGAGGCCCUUCGCUACACGCCUGAGAUUGAAGAGCUCGGUAAGAAACUGGUUGAGCGGCUCAGAGAUGAAGACGAGCCUUACAUUGCUCUUCACUUGAGGUAAAAACAACAUAUUACUGAUCUUUCUACCUUCUUGGUUGAAGUUGGUCUAACUCUAAUCUGAUUCGUUUUGAUCAGGUACGAGAAAGACAUGCUCGCGUUCACCGGUUGCAACCACAAUCUGAGCGCCUCGGAGGCCGAGGAGCUUCGCGAGAUGAGGUACAGCGUGAAGCAUUGGAAGGAGAAGGAGAUAGACAGCAGAGAGAGGCGGCUGCAGGGGGGCUGCCCCAUGUCUCCGAGAGAGGCGGCAUUCUUGCUCAAGGCCAUGGGGUAUCCUUCCUCCACAAAAAUCUACAUCGUUGCAGGAGAAAUCUACGGCAACAACAGCAUGGACGCGCUACAGAGAGAGUAUCCGAAUGUCUUCUCUCACUCAACCCUCGCCACAGCACAGGAGCUGGAGCCAUUCAAGCCAUACCAGAACCGCCUUGCUGCCUUGGACUACAUCAUAGCCUUAGAGAGCGAUGUGUUCGUCUACACCUACGAUGGGAACAUGGCGAAGGCCGUGCAGGGCCACCGAAGGUUCGAGGGGUUUAGAAGGACUAUAAAUCCUGAUAGGUAAGGAAGGAUACAUUCAGCACUUUUGUUGUUCAACUCUAGAUUUCAAUAUUAAGACGCGCUUUCUCUUUCUCGCCACAGGUUGAAUUUUGUGAGACUCAUUGAUUCUUUGGACGAGGGAGUGAUUUCUUGGGAGAGCUUCGCCUCUGAGGUGAAGCGUGUGCACAGUGAGAGAAUCGGGGCGCCUUACCCGAGGCAGGCAGGGGAGAUACCGAGACUAGAGGAGAACUUCUACGCGAAUCCUUUCCCCGGUUGCGUAUGCAACAGAACAGUGGUGGAACAAAAGAAGCAGGCGGACAGUAGUAGUAGUAGUGCAGGAGUUGCUUCACAAUGACAAGGUUAUUAUUGGGUUUGGUUGAUACUGUAUAGCACACCAUGGCAUUUGAGUUUGGUUGGUUCAAAUCAAGAGGAAAAGAGGUGUUUGGAGAGAGCAGUGCAAAGACAUGACACCCUUCCAGGAACGCGCGUCGCAGCAGAUACGCAUUGCCAUGUUUGUACAGUUGGUCGAAUUUUGGUGGCACGGCACAAAUAUAUACAUGCAUUCAAUUUAUUGUUUCAUAAUUUUAUUCCACAGAGAGAGCACAGAAUGUAACUAUUGGCAACAAAUGUGAUAGGAAAAUAUUCUCAAAGAAUCAUUCGUAUACUUGCCUUGCUGUGUUUAUACCCAUUCGAGUUCCUGCACUUUAUUUCAUACACAAUUGAGAUGUGGUCCAUGCAUGUCCGUGCCUAGGCUAGGCAAUUAUUCUUCCACAUAUUACCAAAAAUAAAUAAAUAUAAAUUCUCUUUAAGAAUCAAUAAAAUUAAAAAGUUAAAUUCUGGAUCAAAAUAAUUAUGUGCGACGAAUUAUUGUUCGGCAAUAGAAGGAUUCUUCUUGCACUUUGGAAAAAUUACUUUCCCCGUAAGUUGUCUUCUGAACAAAUGUCCCAUUGGUAAAAUGAUGCUAAACUUUUUCUUACAUGUGUAUUUUUAUUAGGGAGAGCGUAUUUGUUAAGGAAUCGUAUAUUAAGGCUAAGUUUAUUUUAAAGAGCUUAUAAGUUAUUGGAGUUUAUAAGUUGUUUCAAGAGCCUAUAAGAUGUAGUUUCUUAAAAGCUUAUAAGUUGUCAAAGUGUUAGGGUAAUUGAGCUUAUAAGCUAAAGUGAGAAGUUUUAGUUAAUGAGAGAAAAUUUUUGCUAGAGAGAGAAAAUUGAAGAAAAUGAAAUUUAGAAUGAUAUAUGAUGAAAACACAAAAUUAUACUUGAGUUAUUUUGGUUAAAUGAGUGUUGCUUAUAAGAAAAUAAGUUGGAGUAGAGAAACUUAUUUUUUGAAGAACUUAUAAACUCUUGGAGCUUAUUUUUACAGCUUAUAAACUGUUUGAGAGCUUAUUUUGCCAAACACUUUGAAAGAGCUUAUAAGCUCCUAAACAACUUAUAAGCUGUUUUAUAGAGGUUAAAGAUCAGUAGAACAACCUCUAAGUGUUGUAUUUGGCAAUUCUGAAAUGUGAGAUUUGAAAAUCAGAUUUAGUAUAUAUAGUUUCAUUAAUUGAUUCUGUUAGACUUCCCCGUCUUGAAAGUUGUGGAUGAAAACGAAAACUUAAAUAAUUGGGCAAUAUGAUGGCGUGAAGGGCAGGGAAGAAGAGCCAUGAAUACGAAUCACAUUUGGAACGUGAAGUUGGGGAAUGACAGGUGGACAUCAAACACAUACAAAAGCCGACCUCCGACAGUGCGCAAACAAACUGGCAUGACACCCAAACUGGAAUCCUCCAACGCCACCUUUUUUAUGUAAUCUAAUCACAAAUUAUACAAUCGUUAACGACCACUAUUAUGGACACCAUCACAUACUUCAUUUCCACAAAUUCUCUCCUCCGAACAACACAGCUUGGACAGGAAUUUAUUUAUUUAUUUUUUCCCGUGAAAAGGGGGGGUUUUGGGGGUAAUUUUAUCUUUUUAAAAUUUAUUGUUAUUUAAUGUUUGGUAGAAUGGUAUCUCAAUGUAUAAAUGAUGUCGUAAUCCGAUAAAUUUACGUGAUUUAGUACAUGAGCAAUCGAAUUAAAUGAGAUCAGGUGAAUUGAACUCGUUAUUCAUUCUGUACAGGUAGAGAGUUUGAUUGUGCGUAGCCCGUCGAAGAAAAUUAUUUUAAAUUAUAUUAGGUUACUGUAAAGUAUGAAUUCAUAAUUGCAGUUAGUUAAGUAAAGGGUGGAAAGCAAAUAAUAACAGUUGGGGGGCUCAUGUGCAAAGCAGGGAGUUAGUUUGUUUUAACAAACUAACAGAAUCAGUCUUCACGCAGAGCUCUUUGCAGCUUGCUUUGUGAGCUCGUUACUUGAUCAUUUUGUGAGUUUAAAUACUUGAUGUAAUCCUCCUAGAUCAGGUUAGAAGUUAGAAGAAUUCUCUGAGAAGAAGAGUGAAAUGAGAGUGAGAAAAGUAGUCUUGUUUCAGGCUUGAGAGCUUUCAUCUCUAGCUCUUUGUUGUGUAAUUCUUUGUAACUCUUGAUCGUGAUUAGUGAAAGUUCUUGGGUGAUCUUCCGUGGAUGUAGGUUUAACAACCGAACCACGUAAAAUCUGGUGUCUUCUUUCUUUGUUUUCUUGUUCAAUUCUCAUCACAAACUUGAGUGUUAAAGUUGAGAGUUGAGAGUUUGGUUGCUGCGUUUUUUGCAUUGUUUUGUUUGAAUUGAGUUGCUGAAACUUUUGUAACGUCAAUUCCUAACAAAAGUGGCGCCGUCUGUGGGAAUCGAAACAAGGCGCAGCAAGGUGUAUUGCGAUUGAAAGAAGUAAAAUCAGAUCCACAAGUUUUUGGGGUGUUUGUUCCAGUUAUGGCAGCUGCGAAGUUUGAGACCGAGAAAUUCACAGGGAAAAAUGAUUUUUCCCUUUGGAGAUUGAAGAUGAAGGCAAUUCUUACUCAACAGGGACUUCUUGGUGCUCUUACAGCCAAGAAACUCCCCAAGGGAGAAGAAGAUGGUGGAAAGCAUCUUGAAAUGAUGCAAAAGGCUCACAGUGCUAUCAUACUUUGUUUGGGAGAUAAAGUUUUGCGUGAGGUUGCCAAGGAGGAGACAGCAGCUGGAGUUUGGGAGAAAUUGGAGAGCCUAUAUAUGACCAAAUCUUUGGCAAAUAGGCUCUACAUGAAGAGGAGAUUGUAUUCUUAUAGGAUUACAGAGGAUAAGGCAAUCUUGGAUCAAUUAGAUGACUUCAAUAAGGCAGUUGAUGAUCUUGCAGACAUUGAAGUAAAUCUUGAAGAUGAGGAUAAAGCAUUCUUCUCCUGAAUGCUUUACCCAAAUCAUAUGAUAAUCUAAAGGAUGCCAUGCUCUAUGGAAGAGAGGCCUCCAUCACUCUUGAAGAAGUGAUUAAUGCCCUGAAAUCAAAGGAACUCCAGAAAGCUGCAGACUCCAAACCAGAAGCUCCAAAUGAGAGUCUGAAUGUCAAGGGAAAAUUCACAAAGGGAAAGUCAAAGAAACCAUGGAAAGAUAAGCAAAAGUCUGGGCAGAAUUCAAAGGGGAAGGAUGAUGACACCAAAGACAACAGGAAGUGUCAUUACUGCCAAAAGCCUGGCCACAUAAGGAAAGAUUGCUAUAGUUGGAAAAGGAAGCAAGCUCAAAAGGGAGCUGCACCUGAUACUGCUGACAUUGCAGAACAACUUCAAGAAGCAGAAGCUUUAAACAUAAUCUCUUCCAAACCUGGAUCUGAAUGGAUUCUUGAUUCAGGUUGUUCCUUUCAUAUGUGUCCAACUAAAUCCUGGUUUUGUGAUUUGCAGGAAGAAAGCUUGGGGUCAGUGAUACCAGGAAAUGAUGAAGUAUGCACUGUUAAGGGAAUCGGCUCAGUAAAACUCAAGCUCCAUGAUGGCUCCAUCAGAAUGUUAACUGGGGUCAGGUAUAUUUCCAGUCUCAAGAGAAAUUUAAUUUCCCUUGGUUUUCUGCAAGCCAAAGGCUAUGAGUUUAAAUCUGAUAAAGAUAGUUUGCUUGUGAUUAAGGGUUCUAAAACUAUCAUGAAAGGCAUGAGAAGGCAUAGUUUAUAUCAUUUGAUUGCUUCUACCAUAACAGGUGAAAAUGAGAACAUUGCUAAUAAUGAUACUAUGCUAUGGCAUGCUAGACUAGGUCAUGUUAGUGAAAAAGGACUUACUGUACUUAAGAAACAAGGCACUCUUAAGUUACAACAUGAUAUUAAAAUGCAUGACUGUGAAGCAUGUGUUUUGAGUAAAAGUAAAAAGCUGUCACAUCCAAUAGGCAAACAUACUUCUACUGCUCCACUUCAAUAUGUGCAUGCUGACUUAUGGGGUCCUUCUAAGACCACCACAGUAGGUGGAGGAAACUACUUCUUGUCUUUUGUUGAUGACUAUUCCAGGAAAGUUUGGGUUUAUGUGAUUAAAAAUAAAACAGAUGUGUUUGAUAAGUUUGUUGAGUGGUGCAGCCUAGUUGAAAAUGAGAAGAAUUCUAAACUUAAAUGUCUAAGAACAGACAAUGGUUUAGAAUUUGUAUCUGAAAAAUUUCAAGACUACUGUAAAGCAAAAGGAAUCAAGAGGCACAAAUCUGUUCCUGGAAAUCCACAGCAAAAUAGGGUGGUUGAAAGGAUGAACAGGACUCUAUUAGAGAAAGUCAGAUGUAUGUUAUCUAGCUCUGGAAUGGCAGCAAGGUUUUGGGGAGAAGCUGUUGUUACUGCAGCCUAUCUCAUAAAUAGAUGUCCAUCAUCAGCAAUUGAGUUCAAAACCCCUGAAGAGAGAUGGACUGGAAGGCCUGCAGAUUACACAAAUUUGAGGAAAUUUGGAUGUCUUGCCUAUAUGCAUAUAAAGCAAGAUAAGUUGGAACCAAGAGCAUUGAAAUGUGUAAUGAUAGGCUACCCUAAUGGUGUAAAAGGUUACAAACUAUGGUGCAUUGAGGCUGGAAAAGGAAAAGCUCUUAUCAGCAGAGAUGUUAUCUUCAGAGAGGAAAUCAUGCCAUUUAAAAGGGAGAACUCUGAUACAGAUUUUGAGGUGGAGUCUUCAAAGGCAGAUACUAGCUCUGAAAAUGCAAACAAAGAUGUGGCUGUUAAGGAAGAAGUUGAUGCUGAACAAAGAGAGGAAGUUUUAGAUCAAGGUGGAGAUGAUCUAAAAGAAUAUCAACUUGCUAGAGACAGGAUCAGAAGAAGCAUCAAACCUCCUGCCAGAUUUGCUGAAGCAGAUCAGAUAUCAUUUACAUUAACAGUUGCUGAGAAGAUCAGCUACCAGGAACCCAAGAAUUACAAAGAAGCCAUAUCUUGCAAAGAGUACAAAGCUCUGGAUUGAAGCUAUGAAUGAGGAAUUCAAUUCUCUGAUCAAGAACAAGACCUGGAAACUUGUUCCUAAACCUAAGACACAAAGGUGUGUAAGCUGCAAAUGGUUGUUUAAAAGGAAAUUUGAGGUCAUUGAUGGAAAGGAAACUUUGAGGUAUAAAGCUAGGUUGGUGGCUAGAGGUUUUACUCAACAAGGAGGGAUAGACUUCAAUGAGAUCUACUCUCCAGUUGUAAAGCACAGUUCAAUUAGGCUUCUACUGUCAAUAGUAGCUCAGUUUAACCUUGAAUUAUGAUGUGUGUAUUUUAGUUACCUAGUUUAGUAUGUGUUUGCCGUGAUUUUUAUAUGAUUUUACAUGGAUUGUGAUAUUUUGGAUGUAGGAAUUGAGCGAAAUUUGGAGAUGAUCUUGUGGAUGAAGAAGCUCGAGAAUGGUGUGGAAUUCGAAGAAGAUUAGAGUUAAUUGUGAAGGAAUUAGAGAUUGNNNNNNNNNNNNNNNNNNNNNNNNNNNNNNNNNNNNNNNNNNNNNNNNNNNNNNNNNNNNNNNNNNNNNNNNNNNNNNNNNNNNNNNNNNNNNNNNNNNNNNNNNNNNNNNNNNNNNNNNNNNNNNNNNNNNNNNNNNNNNNNNNNNNNNNNNNNNNNNNNNNNNNNNNNNNNNNNNNNNNNNNNNNNNNNNNNNNNNNNNNNNNNNNNNNNNNNNNNNNNNNNNNNNNNNNNNNNNNNNNNNNNNNNNNNNNNNNNNNNNNNNNNNNNNNNNNNNNNNNNNNNNNNNNNNNNNNNNNNNNNNNNNNNNNNNNNNNNNNNNNNNNNNNNNNNNNNNNNNNNNNNNNNNNNNNNNNNNNNNNNNNNNNNNNNNNNNNNNNNNNNNNNNNNNNNNNNNNNNNNNNNNNNNNNNNNNNNNNNNNNNNNNNNNNNNNNNNNNNNNNNNNNNNNNNNNNNNNNNNNNNNNNNNNNNNNNNNNNNNNNNNNNNNNNNNNNNNNNNNNNNNNNNNNNNNNNNNNNNNNNNNNNNNNNNNNNNNNNNNNNNNNNNNNNNNNNNNNNNNNNNNNNNNNNNNNNNNNNNNNNNNNNNNNNNNNNNNNNNNNNNNNNNNNNNNNNNNNNNNNNNNNNNNNNNNNNNNNNNNNNNNNNNNNNNNNNNNNNNNNNNNNNNNNNNNNNNNNNNNNNNNNNNNNNNNNNNNNNNNNNNNNNNNNNNNNNNNNNNNNNNNNNNNNNNNNNNNNNNNNNNNNNNNNNNNNNNNNNNNNNNNNNNNNNNNNNNNNNNNNNNNNNNNNNNNNNNNNNNNNNNNNNNNNNNNNNNNNNNNNNNNNNNNNNNNNNNNNNNNNNNNNNNNNNNNNNNNNNNNNNNNNNNNNNNNNNNNNNNNNNNNNNNNNNNNNNNNNNNNNNNNNNNNNNNNNNNNNNNNNNNNNNNNNNNNNNNNNNNNNNNNNNNNNNNNNNNNNNNNNNNNNNNNNNNNCCCAAAUAAAAACAUAAGUGGGUCUUUGUAUAAUUAUUUACAAAGUGGGACUGUUUUUUGAAUUUUUAAAGAAUUAAGUCGUGUCAAAUUUGGACCACAACGAAAGUUGGUGUAUUAAAAUGUAAAAUCCUAACUUCGCGUCAAAUAUGAAUUUUUGGCAAAGUUUGUGUAUUUUCACGCAAUUAUCCCUUUAUUUUAUUAUAAAUACAGCUGUCAGCUCUCAGGAAAACACACAGAUAAAAUUAGGGUUUUUGAGAGCAGUGAGAAGCGCCGAUCGUGCAUAGCAGUUUUUCUCUCCUGGGACUUUCAUAGAACGUUUUCCAUCCAACGGUGAAAGCUAAGCGGGAUACAGUUCAGAAGAUCAGAGCUGGAGUCAAAUUUUUCGCAGGAAAUCAAGUUCUGGCAGUUUCAGGAGAACGGCCAUAACUUCCUCCACAGAACUCCGAUUCAGGCGAAACAGGCGGCCACGGAAAGCUCUCUCGAAGGUGAAGAAGUCUUAUUUCUGGGCAGAAUACGAUUUGAGGACGUUUGAGGCUUAAAACGAAGGCUUGAAGUUGACUGGUUUGUUCAGCUGCGAGUUUGACGAAUUCUUCUGAAUUCUUCAGGUAUUUCGGAACUCCAACGUGCAGCACUUAAAUUCAUAGGAGCAUGUUAGGAUUAAUUGUUGUAUGAUAAAUUAAUAAUAAUCCAAGAAACGAUCAUCGGGCAAACGGAGCAUUAAUUCAGUUUAAUAUUCCUUCAAGUUCCAUAACAGACUAGAACUCUACAGAGCUGACCAAACGCUAUAGAGCUGACUUCCAGCUCUGCCAUACUCGCCAGAUCUGCCAUGAUUUUCCAACUCUGCCAAGACGCCAGAGCUGCCAAGACUUGCCGAGCAAGUUAUCUUGAAAUCCCCUGUGCGCGCACGCUGCUUGAUGUUUAUCUUUAAAGCCCAGUUUUGCAAGGCCUUUUUUAUCAGCAUUAGGGUUGAAAGAAAGUCUAUAAAUAGGGCCUUAAUGUUCAUGUAAUAAUCAUCUUUUGCCCUAAUCUUUUGCUUCCGCCUUUGAGAAUUAAUCUUCCAUUUAGGCAACCAAAACACUUAGGGUUUCUCAAGUUUUCUUAGUUCUUCAAGUUUUCGAGAGUUUUGUUCUAGUUUACUUUCAAGUUUAGUUUGCUUUAGUUUCCGAUUGAAGUUGUAAUCAAGUGACAGUGAUUGCAUCCUCAAGAAGUUUAUGGUAUUUCGUAUUACUUUAAUUCGUUUGCUUCAUUACGUUUACGUUUAGAUUUCAUUUAUGCAAUUUCGUUAUGUUUAUGCUUUACUUUAAAUUAUGCAACUUAGUUUAUGUCAAUUAGAUUAGAAGCUUUUAUUUACAAGUAUUUAAAUUCUUAGCCUAGUAGCUUUUAAAUUCAAGUAGCCUUUACUUUAAUCGUUUAUUUCUGCCUAGGGUUUAAUGGUUUCUUUGUGCAUGAGUUUUUACGUUUUGUUCUUUUCCACCUAGUUAAUUCUAAGUUCAGUUUGAAAUUGAGUUUUUAAUUGCAAGUCUUAAUUUAAUAAUCAAAGUUUAUUGCCUUCGUGUUGAUUUAUGCUUAAUUGUUCUUAUUUUGGGGGUUUGAUUGUGCUAUAUUUGAGCUUAAUUUUCUGGAAGUUGGUGCGUUUAUGAGUCUGUUUUAUGCUUUGUAGGAGAUUUUUAUAAAAUAGGAGAAAGAAUGAUAUUCUGGAGAUUUUGGAUCAGAAUUGCGUAUUCUGGCGCAAACUGGUGCCCAGAGCUGAAAAGCCCGCGCCAAAGCAGAGCUGAUAAUCCCGCGCCAGAACUGACCACGCUCGACAAAGCUGAAAUGCCAUAGCCAGAGCUGACUUCUAUAGUCAGAGCUCACCAUCUCCAGAGCAAAACUCAUUUGCCAGAGUAGAGCUAGAACUCGACAGAGCUGAAGCUCAGUCACCAGAGCGGACUUCACUCGCCAAAGUCAACACAAUUCCAGAGCUGACUACUUAUCCAGAGCUUACUUCCAACUCUCCCAUACUCGCCAGAUCUGUCAUGAUUUUCCAGUUCUGCCAAGACGCCAGAGCUGCUAAGACUUGCCGAGCAAGUUAUCCUAAAGUCUCCUGUGCGCGCACGCUGCUUGAUGUUUAUCUUUAAAGCCCAGUUUUGCAAGGCCUUUUUGAUCAGCAUUAGGGUUGAAAGAAAGUCUAUGAAUAGGUCCUUAAUGUUCAUGUAAUAAUCAUCAUUUGCCCUAAUCUUUUGUUUCCAUCUUUGAGAAUUAAGCUUCUGUCAAGGCAACCAAAUACGUUAGGGUUUUUCAAGUUUUCUUAGUUCUUUAAGUUUUCGAGAUUUUUGUUUACUUUCAAGUUUAGUUUUGCUUUAGUUUCCGAUUGAAGUUGUAAUCAAGUGAUAGUGAUUGCAUCCUCAAAAAGUUUAUGGUAUUUCGUAUUUACUUUAAUUCGUUUGCUCAUUACGUUUACGUUUAGCUUUCAAUUAUGCAAUUUCGUUAUGUUUAUGCUUUGCUUUAAAUUAUGCAAUUUAGUUUAUGUCCAUUAGAUUAGAAGCUUUAAUUUAAGUUAUUUAAAUUCUUAGUUAGAAGCGUUUAAAUUCUUAGUUGCCUUUACUUUAAUCGUUUAUUUCUGCCUUGGGUUUAAUGGUUUCUUUAUGCAUGAGUUUUUAGGCGUUUUAGUGUCACUUUGUUUUAUGUUUUUAAUUGCUUUAUUUAUUUGCUGUUUCGUGUUACUUUUAUUUUCUCCCGCCGGUGUGUUUGAUCCGUUUGCUAGUGUUGUGCAUGCAGGGACGCCGUAGUCUGAAAGGAAAACUGGUGUCUCCCUUGAACAACACGAACGCGUGUAUUUUCAGAAAGAAUUGCAGCAAAGAAGUCUUUGCAGACAAAGCUGACGGUUCUAAGUCUGGUUCUGACGAAGAAGUGCGUGACAGAGCUGACGAUUUUUACUCUGGAUCUGACUCAGACCAUACAGAGCAGCCCAUAGAAAAGGAAGAAGAAGAGCCUACAGAGCUGCCCGUAGUAGAGGAAGAAGAAGAGUGUCCAGAGCUGCCCGUAGAAAAGGAAAAAGAAGAGCCAGCCAUCCACACCAAAGAAGAGAUGGCGCAAAAUAAUCUGCAGUACAUGGGAGACUUCACCAGGCCCGUUAUAGGGGACACUAACACCUCGGCUAUUGUGCUCCCUACCGCCGUAAGAAACUACAACUUGAGGCCGAACGAUUCAAGUUUGCUACUUCUUUUCCACGGGAUGCCGAACGAGGACACCUUGCACUUCAUUCGUGACUUUUACACUCAAGUACAAACUAUGCCACUGCCGAAUCUCACGGAGGACCAAUUAAAGCUCAAGUGUUUCCCGUAUGCACUUAAAGAUCGGGCGAGGACGUGGCUGCUAUCUCUGCCGCCCAACUCCAUAACCACGUGGGGGGAGGCAUGUGAGAAAUUCAUGCUGAAAUAUUACCCGAAUCACAAGACGCAGGAGAUCAGAGCUCAAAUCAUGAACUUCAUCCAAGGAACGGACGAGCUCUUCCAUGAGGCCUGGGAAAGAUUUCACGAACUCCUCUGCCAGUGCCCGUAGCAUCAACUGACCAAUGUAAUGUUGAUGCAAUUCUUCUAUGACGGGCUGAUUCAAACUGCUCAAUUUAUGGUGGACAGCACUGCAGGCGGGAACAUAGCUAGAAAGACAGCUGCAGAGCUGAACGAGAUUUUCCAGACUCUGGCCGAGAGUUCUCAGCAGAAAUCGACCCGUGGACUCCGGGUUGAGGCCAGCGCAGUAGCAUAGACUGGCGAGCUGCAAAAAUAGUUGGCCACACUUAUGAGAGAAGUACAGCUGCUCAAGAUGAGCAACGCGGAAACUCCUCCUGUCCCUGAGCAGAGUGCACAGCCUUGUGGAAUCUAUGGUGAUUUUAGCCAUAGAAUUAAUUAACGCAAUAGAAUGAGAGAAUACAUGCCAGAAGGGCAAGCUGAAGUUCAUUCUACGCAAGGCUUUCAGAGUAGACCACAAUAUGGGCAGAGUUAUAAUCAAGGCCAGCAGAACUUCAAUAGCGGAUGGAGAGGUCAGCAGCCUUAUGCACCACAGCCAAACUUCUCUAAACAAUAUCCUCCGAGGUAUCAGCAGAAAGGGAAUUUUCAGCCCAAUCAACAAUUUCAGAAUACUCCACAGUUUCAGAAACAUGUUCAGCCCCAGAAGUUAUCCUUAGAAGAUACUAUGCAGUCGUUUAUGGAGAUGACCAAGCAAAAUAUGGAGUCUCAGUCAGCUACGAUCAAGCGCCUUGAAAUAACUGUUGGCCAACUCUCCGGCACUUUGAACCAAAUUCAGUAGCAGCAGCAGCCUGGGAAACUUCACGGCCAGCCUUUGCAAGCUCAUCAGGCUCUAGCUAUUACUGCUCUCCCAGAGCAGACAACACCGCCAGAGCUGAAAAGUAUUCCAGAGUAGACUAGGGUACCAGAGCUGAGAAGGGCGCCAGAGCUGAGAAGAACGCCAGAGCUGAUAAGGGCGCCAGAGCUGAAACUUCACAAGUCCACUACGCCAUAUCGACCACCAAAAGCUAUCCAACGUCCCAGCCCACCUCUGCCACCGGUGAUUAUUGAUCCAACCCAACCACUACCGAAGCAAGAAGAUCCAGGCAGCUUCAUUUUUUGUAUUGGUUUGGGUAAAGCUGGAGAGGUCUCGGGCAUGCUAGAUUUGGGUGUGGCUGUCAAUUUGAUAUCGUUUGAUAUUUUUCAAAAGUUGGGCAGGAAGGAUGAUGAGCUGAAGUGCGCUGAGAUGAGACUGCAGCUAGCUGACGGUUCUAUGAGCAGCCCACGUGGACUCUUGGAGGAUAUUGAAGUCACGGUAAGAGGAAUCAAAGUGCUGGCAGAUUUUGUGGUGCUUAAUACAGGGAAAGGCAUUAGAGGAGAGAACGACCAUCUUGUUCUGCUUGGCCGGCCUUUUAUGGCUACUACCUAGACUCGCAUUGAUGUGGGAUCUGGAACUUUGAGUAUGGCCGGGUCAGGUAGAUCGGUAACGUUCUCUGUUUUUUAUAAGAAGCCUGCUAUUGCUACUUCUUUAUUGCAUGACUGUUCUUACUUGGAGAUAUUUAACCCUGUGGAAGAGGAAUGUAUUGUGCUGGAGUUUCUUGAUAAUCUGCAGGAGGUUGAUAAUUAUAUGCAGGAAGAAGUGGAAAUAUUCAGCGCUAAAAAUGAUUUGCCAGCUCUGACCAGUCCACCAGCUCUGCUAAGGUCGCCAGCUCUGGCGAGCACUUGCUCGGAAGACAAACUUCCAUAUGAGGAUGAAAUAGUGCAGGAGUUUCUUGAUAACCUGCAAGAUGAGGUGGCCUUUGUAGAACAGUUUUUGGACAAGCUGGCACUCGAAGUGAAUGCAGUGCAAGAAUUACAGACUCACUUGAAAGAGGACGCAGCCGUUAAGGAAGAAUCUCUGGGCGUGCUACAACACAAUGAUGGUGUCGUGCAAGGGUUGCAUUGUGUACUGCUUGAGGAAAAGAAGAAUGAAUGGAGUUUACGUUCUGGCUUCCGAAAAAGAGUGGUUAGGAAGUCUUUUAAUGCGAUGAGCGCUGUAUGCUCAUUAGGAGGACCCGUGGCUGCAAUCAAGAAGGAUGUGUGUUCAAUGGGACUAAGGCAGCUGAAGCUUCAAUCUGAUUUUGGUUAAGGGUUUCUCUGAGUCGAGCUCGAGACGUUAAUCAGAGCGCUUUGUGGGAGGCAACCCACAGUUGGUUUUGUUUUGUUUCUUCUUUGUGUUUGUUUUUUUGUUUCUUUGUUUUUGGUUGCUUGUUCGGUUGCUUUGAUUCUGGGUGUUUAUGUUUUUGUCUGCAGAGAACAUGGUCCAGCGCUGAAAUUCUACUCUGACAUUGCUGCCAGUGCUGAAGAAUGCCAGCACUGCAAAGUCCACUUCCAGAUCUGCAAUUCCACUCUGAAAAGGACCAGCACUGACAUUUACACUCCGUCGAAGGCUGCAAACCCUAAAUUUUGCCGCUUCUCUCAACGCUUUGGUAUUUCAUCGCCAAUGAUCAGGGACGUCUUUUAACUCUUUUUAUUUUGUGCCCUGAGGACAUGGCCUUCUUUAAGUGUGGGGGGGUGUCUUGUUUUGUUACAUGCUUUCGAUUGGGCGAUUGGUCCCUCUAUUCUUAGCUUGCUCUUGGAUACUUGCGAUUUUGUUUAUGAAUUUAUGGAAGAAGAGAUGGUUUUUGGUGAGAAUUUCGGGUUGUGAUUGAAUGGUGGUUAUUCUUGUUUUGCUUUUGAUAUAUGUUUCUUGAUUGUGCAAAGAAUUAUGAGUUUUGUCGCAACACUGUGGUAAGUAAGUAAAACGUGAUUUGUCCGGUAGAUGCUAGAGGGAGUGUUGUCAUUGUGAUUGCCUACGAUCGUAUCCUUAUGUUACACCCCAAUUCUUGAAGGAAUAAAUACAAUCGAGGUGCAACCAUUUUAUAGGAAUAACAUAAGGAAAAAUCCUUAUUGAACCUGAAUAAUAAGAUAACAAGUCGGGCUAGUCCCCUUUGGAUCACAAGUUUUGUUUCAUGCUUCUGACAACCGACAUUCAUUAGCAUAAAUCUAGGAGUUAAGAGUCUAAACUGAUCAGGGAUAUAUUUGAAAUUUAAAUGAAAGCUAAGUUAGGGAGAACAAAAAACAAGAUAUAUAGUGCUACAGCGGAAGUCUAAUAGAAGUUAACCCUAGCCUCAGCUCCGUCCGUCAGCACCAGCUAGCCAACCUGAAAACAUUUGAAAGUAUUUUUGGGCUAAGUACUAAUGUACUUAGUGGGCAUGCAUUUUCGAAAAUUUCAUACUUCUAAAGGCAGUUUAUCCAAUCAUAAUUGACAUAACUUAGAAGGUUUUAAAUUGAAAGAACUUCUAAGCAUGCUAAAACAUUUCAUUUUAUUUGUGCGCACAUGUCACACUCCCUUUCCGUUACUCGCUGUGAUCCCGGACCUUUUAGCCACCAACGGAUCCAUUACUCCCUCUUGAACUGAGGGCGUAACCCAGCCAAGUUCCCAUUUGGGACCCAAUGCUCCGGAACACAUCCCGUCGAGCACCCUUAUAACGCCUCAUACAUGAUUAGUGCCCGAUGGAGAUCAACCCACCAGGUCAGCUAAUAGGUGUACACAAUUCUCAAAUAACGUGUUAGGUCAAGAGAGAACCUCGAUCGAUUCAUUGUUGCGAGCCUUAAACGGAGCAGAGUGCACAAAAUAUUUUAUUGGAUAAACAGUUUGCAUUUUAUUGAAUAAACAAUUUGCAUUUCAUUGAAACAUUUAGAGCUUAAUAACUCAAUCAUACUUUAUACAUUUAGAAAGUAAGUCCACCUGGAUAGGCAAAGCCUGAAGAUCAUAAUCACAUAA